rnacentral:lncRNA from 1 species
UGCAACAAACACACGGAUUACACUAAAAGCUAGUGAAUCAUACACUUGCAGAUGACUUAUCCAAACACAAAGAUAAGACAUGAUUUUAUUAUUAUUGCUAUAAACACACGGAUUACAGCGAAAUUCAAAAACUAAAAACAAGGAAAAAAGUAGUGAUGAAAACCAAUGCCACUUCCGGGAACACGAUUGCAUUCGCACAUGCAACAAGCCUUUUAAACCCAUAGGUGACCCAAAUGGGACGAGUGAAGUCUCGUGAGGGUUUCCAGAGACGUUACCCACAAACAUCAUGCAUACGGAUCAUCAACAUCUGACUUGGGAGACUGAGUAGAUAUCCACCCCUCCAGCAUCAGGUUGUUUUGGUUGAGGCGUAAUUCGAAUCUGUUUUCAAUGAACGGCCUGGUUAUGAGAUCGCUUUGCAAGUGACGUAAUCGGCAGCGCGUGAUUAGGUUGUUGCUGUCAGGUGGUCCGACAGGCUCGACCUUGAACAAUGUGCAAGCCCAAUUGUCUUUGGUUUCAUUUCGGUCAGCAGCUGCGGCCAGGACCAAUAGCCUGUUUUGGUCCACCCUUCUCAAGUAGUUGCCAUUGUAGGAGCAUUUGAUAUGCACGUAAUUCUUGUCGGCGUAGUCCUCAUUGUUUGGCUUCUCGGUGGUGAACUUUAUGAACCUGCUGUUUUCAUUGUCCUCGGAAAACUGGACAAUCUCAUUAAGGUCGCUUUCUGCAUCAAGUUGAUAGCGCAAAUACUUGUUGUUGAUAUCUGCUUUCAGCAGAAAAGGGCUUGGUAGUACAGGUGGUGGAGCCAUAUCGUAUAGUGUAGUUGGGAUUGGGAUGCUCUCUCUUUUUUAUUCUCUGUUGAUGAUCUAAUUUGCUUGCUGUGAAUGUGAUGCUUAGUUUAAACCUGCUAUCCUAUUUAUAAGAAAUUAAGCACAAGCUAGCUCAAGUUAUGGUCUUUAAUUAAUAUUAAUUUCGACAAAUCAGUUUCCCAUCUCUUUCAUUGAUAUGAACAUGGCUGAUCUCAUUGAUGUGGCGCAAUAUUUGUUAAAUUAGCCGUUCGGGUUGAUUUCUUUGUACAACUCAUCUGCCAAUUCUACAACUUGUAGACCUAAUUCCCAGUACAAAAUUAAAAAAAAAUUAAAAUCCAAAACUAAUAUAAGAUAAAUAAAGACUUUUUAUAUCAUAAAAUAAGACUUUCUAACUUGUAUACAAGACAAUAGUGACAAGAUCAAACACAUUGAUGGGUGCGCAUUUUCCAUCAACAUCUGUUCUGUGUGUUUAAACUGACCGUGGAGUCUUUUUAGCAAUUAAAAGUUUUGUAUCAUGUAAUUGUCUUGGUUUGAUAAGACCUACAUCUAGAUGAGAUGCUUCUGAAGACUAAUGUAAAACUUUAUGUUGAUAUUUCUUGAGGGUGAAACAUCGUUUGAGAAACGUGUUGGGCCUCAUUACAAUUUUUUCAUUUAGUUUUUAACUUUUGGUUUAAAUAUUCUACUAUGAAUAAAUUUGUGGCUUUAAUAACUAGUAAAACCACUUUCAAAUAUCUUAGUAUCGGCUUUCAGAACAAAGGGGUUUGGUAGUACAGGUGGAGCCAUAUUGUAUAGUGUAGCUGGGAUUGGGAUGAUCUCUCUCUCUUUUUUGUUUUUUUUUUCCCUUUAAUUUGCUUGCUUUGAAUGUGAUGCUCAGUUCAAACCUACUAUCCUAUUUCUAAGAAAUUAAGCACAAGCUAUCUCAAGUUAUGGACUUUAAUUAAUAUUAAUUUCCUCAAUCAGUUUCCCAUAUCUUUCAUUGAUACGAACAUGGCUGAUCUCAUUGGUGUGACGCAAGAUUUGUUAAAAUAGCGAUCGGAUUGAUUUUUCUUUGUAUAACUCUUCUGCCAAUUCUGAACUUGUACAUAUAAUUCCCAUUAUAAAAUAAAUAAAUAAAAUUCAAAACUCAUAUAAAAUAAAUAGAGACUUUUUAUAGCAUAUAAAAUAAGACUUUGUAACUUGUACAUAGUUAUUGAUAACAUUCAUCUAAGAACUAACAGAUGAAUGUAUGCAAGCAAUAUUGAAGAAAUACAGAGAGAAAGAUCGAAAGGAAUAGAGAGAGAAAUAGAGAAAGAAAUGAGUGAAAGCUUUGUUAUUUCAUAAGAACAAAAGAUCAUCACAAAAGAACCCUGAUUCCUUCUUAUAUAGUCUGCCCAUGUAGCUUAUCAGCUAAGCCACCUGUGUAACUAAUUCUUAACAAACUAACUAACUCCAAUAGCUGAUAUGGCACUUAUGAUGAUGUGUCAAUCACUAUAUAUCUUCAACAUCCCCCCGCAAUCUCAACUGGGAUUUUCUAGCUUGAGAUUGUAAAAAUGUUAGACAAAUGAAGGACUGUGAAGACCUUUGGUAAGAACAUCGGCAGUUUGCUCCUCAGUUGGGAUAUACAACACCUCCAAAUCGCCUUCAUGCACCCGUUCUCGUACAAAAUGGUAGUAUGUAUUAAGGUGUUUAAUUCUUGAAUGAAACACCAUAUUAGCACUGAUCGGAUCAUAUUUAUAUAUAUUUUUACUUCGAAUUCACUCGUCUUUUCUUAGUUAGUUCCUUAUAUUUUUGAGCUAUUUACGUUAUUUUUGUGUUUAUAGGAUUUGUUAUGCAAAGAAAAUAAAAAUAGAACAAAUGAAAUUUUAUGUAAUAAAUUCGUCAAAACUGUCUGUGUAGAUCAUCUUUUAAAUAAAAUUAAUAAAAAUAAUAAUAAUGGUAAGUCAUGAUGAUGUUUGAAACAUCAUCAUGAUUCAUGUUUUGUAGAAGAAGAAAGGAACGGCAAAGAAGGAGAAAAUAAAGAAUAAAAGGAGGGAGAGCGUCGGUGGAAAAGAAAAAGGAAUAAAAAGCUGCCUUUACCAACAGAGAGAGUGGGGAGGGCAGAAAGAAAAACACGGCAUAAAGAAUAAGAAUAAGAGGAAGUGAACAGCAGUGCGAAGAAGAAAGGAAGAAUAAGAAAAUAAAGAUAAGAGGCAGAGCGGAAGAGAGAGGAGGGGGGAGAUAAGUCAGAGGGACGCGGAACGAAGAGAGGAAAGCAGCAAAGCUGCCAGCGGAAAGAAAAGGUUGCCCUUGCAGCCUUGAAAAAAAAAGCAAAAAAUAAAGGAGAGGUCAGGAGGGGAGAGAGGUUAGAGUGCGAAAACAGAGAGAGAGAAGGCGGGAGCAGCGCAGCAGAGCACAGCAGCAGGUGCAGGGAAGUCAGGAGCUAGGCAGAUCUUCUUUUCUUGGUUUUAUCUUCUCAAACCCAUGUUUUACUUUUGGUUUAAUUUGAUAAUAAUGUGUAACUAAAUUUAUUUUGGCUAGAGGUUAAUUCAAAGCCAUGAAUAUAUUUGUAAUAUGAAUUGAUUACCUUCAGUUGUGAUUUCUGAGUUGUGAUUUAAUUUGCUUAACUGCUUGAUUGAUAACUUAUUUUUGUAUGUCGAUUAAGAAUGCAUACUUAAUUUACAUGCAUGAAUUUGAUGCUAGAAUAUAAGUGAAUUUCACCUAAUCGUUAUGAACUUAUAUUCACAAGUAGUGAAGGUUGUUAUCCACAAUCGUGUUAAGUGAAUUCUAGGCUGGAUUAACAUGCGUAUUCCAUAGUUAUGAAUGCCUAGUCAAUGUUUAUGAUUUCCGUUGAACUUAAUGAUCUUUGUUGAAUGUCUCUAUCAUGCGUAUUCCAUAGUUAGGGACUUUGAUGAGGAAUAAUUUGGUUGUAAUGCGUAUUCCAUUCAAUCCAAUGAAUCUAGGGAAAUCUAAGAGUUAAUUUAAGCGGACCUAAUUAACUUGGAACAUUGUCAUUCACAAUUUAUUGAAAGAACAACUGAAAAUCAAUUUAGGUUGCAUAUGUGUCAUGUGUGGAGAAGAACCCUCUAGCUAGUCCGUCACCUAUCCUUUCACCUUAAUUUCAUGCUUUUGUCAACUCUGUAAUUUAUUUAAGUUUAAUUUACUUCUCGUCAAAACCAAACCCCCCCAUUAUUAAAUUAUAUUAUUUAGUUAAUUUUCAUUGUUGUUAGUCAUUUAAUUCAAUUUCCGUCCAUUUCAGUUUCUAGUGUCUAAUUUGAUUGUUUUCAUUAUUUUGAGUCAUUCUAAGUGUGUUUCGAGUUAUUAGAGUUUUUAGCCUAGUUUUGUGUCCUUGAGUCUUGUUUAAUAUUUUUAAAUUAAUUUAGAAUAGAUUAGCAAUCCCUCCUAAUCCCCGGCCUAGAACGAUACCCUACUUACAUCUAUAAUACAAUUGUCAAAAAGAGGGUUUAAUUGGUGUGUCAAGUAAUUUUCACAUCAAGCACUUAAGGCAAUAGCAGACAUAUUGUCACAGUGAAUCGUUGGUGGAGCAUCCAAAAAUACACUCAAAUCCUUCAAUAUAUUUCGAAUCCAAGCUAUAUCUACGGCAGUAUGUGCUAAGGCUUUAUAUUCAGCCUCAGUAGAACUCCUGGAUAUCGAGUUUUGUUUCUUCGAUUGCCAAGAAAUUGGAUUACUACCCAAGUACACGACAUAACCAGUGAUAGACCGACGAGUAUUCAAGUCUGUAGCCCAAUAAGAAUCAGAAAAUGCAGUAAGCUUUGAAACUGUGUUUGCAGAAAAAGCAAUACCAAUGUUCAUGGUUUCUUGAAGAUAACGAAUGAUUCAUUUAACAACGCCAAAAUGAACAUCAGUUGGUGAGGACAUCAACUGACAUACUGUGUUUACAGCAAAGGCAAUAUCAGGCCUAGUAAAGGUCAUAUAUUGUAAAGAUCCCACAAUACUUAUGUAAGGUUGGAUCUGUCAAUAAUUGUCCCUCAGAGUGUAACAUUUGAUGAUGAGGUUUACAAGGAGUGGUUGCUGGUUUACAUGAUUCCAUACCUGCUUUAUGGACGAGAUCUUUGAUAUACUUAGACUGAUUAACAAAAACACUGCCAUUUGCUUUAUAUUGAACUUGUAAACCCAAAAAAUAUGUAAGUUGUCCCAUAUCCUUUAACUCGAAUACCUCAGAUAAUUAUUGAAUCACUUUUUGGAUCUUCAAAGGAUUAGAACCAGUUAAGAUGAUAUCAUGAACAUAAAGUAAUAAGAUAAUGAUAUCAGAGUCAUCCUUCUUGACAAACAAACUUGUAUCAGAAGUUGAUGCAUGAAACUCCAUAACUGUCAAAUAACUUGUAAACUUUGAAUUCCACACUCGUGGAGCCUGUUUCAAGCCAUAUGAUGUAUCAAUAAAUCCUUGUGGUUGCUGCAUAUAAACUUCUUUUUGUAAAUCUCCGUGUAGAAAAGCGUUCUUGAUAUCUAAUUGGCGAAGAGGCCAAUGAUUCAUUGCAGCUAAAGAAAGAAUAAUCCUUAUAGUAGUAUGUCCGACAACAGGACUAAAUGUGUCCAAGUAGUCAAUACCAUGUUCUUGGGAGAACCCUUGAGCUACAAGCCUUGCUUUAUACCUGGAGACACUGCCAUCAAAGUUUUUCUUCACUUUGUAUUCCCAUUUGUUUCCUACAAUUGUUCUGUCUUCAGGUGCAGGAACCAAUAGCCAAGUUCCUUGUGCUCGAAGUGAAUCAUAUUUCUCCUGCAUUGCCUUUUGCCACUGUGAAAUAGUAGGAGCUUUCCGAAAUGUCUUAGGUUCUGAAGCAUCAGUGAUCUCAGAAAGAAAGGAAUAGCCACCCGUGAAAGGUUCUUCAUCAGUGAUUUGGAGACAACAAAGCUCAGGACAUUGUGCUACUAAAGCAGCAUAAUUUUGUCCCUCAAUUGUUCCACUCUUCAAUCUAGGGACCAUUGAGUGAGUCAAUGGUGUAGUAUGUAAAAUGAGAUCAAAUAGAGAUAAAUCAGGAAGGAUUACCUCAAGUUGUGACUCAGAGUGGACAAGCAACAAGGAUUGUGUACCAGAGUGAUGAUGUGUAAGAGAGUGAUGAUGUGAAGAGCUUGGAGAUGCAUAUAGAAGAUUGGUUUCAGUCGAAUUUGUAUCUUGAUCACUAGGUUGAAUCACCUGUGUAUUGUCCGAACUAGAAAUAUUCAAUUAACCAACCACAUUUAUACUUUCACAAUUUGCAGGAAUACUGUGAUGUGAACCAGUAUCAUUUGCUGAUAUAUGUAUAGAACUAGCUGCUUGUGAAUCAUGCUGUAUUUAUGUAUGAGGCAGGACUCUUGCACUUGGAACUUGUAACUGAAUCAAAACAGGUGUCUGAGAACACCUAUAUGUAGCUGUAGAAUCCUUAGAUGGCAAAACUUGUUUAAACGGAUAUACAUCUUCAUCAUGUAGUACAUGCCCUGACAGAAUGAACUUUCUAGUCUUGAUAUCAUAACAAAUAACUCCUUUAUAUCCAUGAGCAAAACCAAGAAAUACACAUUGAGCUGACUGUAGCUCCAAUUUAUUCUUAUUGAAUGAUCUUAUCAAGAUAGAGCAGCCAUAAGAAACUCUUAACUUUGGAGGAAUAUGAAGUUUCCAAAUAAGAUUCCAUCGCCGGAAAAGCACAAGGCCUAAUGGCCCAAAAAUAAGCAGAUUUAACUGAAAAAUUACCAUCAUUUAUUCCACUUCAGAUACACUUGGCAGUCAAAGCAUCAAAACUAAUUGGAAUGCUAAGAAUUUGUUCAACCACCUCUUUAGUAAAACAAGUAAUAGUGGAUCCAAACCAUUAUUGUAACAAUAGUUAGCUACAGUAGCCUUAUAUGUAUUGUCGGCGUUACCACACAAUCCCGAUAUACGUCCAGGAUCGACAUGUGAUCUCAUCAAAUACUCAUAUCUCUAACUUACCCCACCUCCGGAAUAUGGCAAAGUGAUGAGUCAAUAUUUACCAUAUAUUUUACCCUAAUCUUAGUAUUAAUUUAUUAGUUAUUUUGGUAGAAUUUUGAUACUUUGUUAUAUAUUUCUAAUAUAGGACAUUCGACUUCAUCUGGAGAAAAAAGUAACCAAACGGAUGAUUUUUGGAGUGAUUCCAAUUGGAGGAUGUUUGUGAGUCUUCGAGAUGAUUAUAUCAAAAUUCCAAAUUUUUCUACCAAGUCGUUUGACCGUGGCAAUGAAAUUAAGGCCCUGCGCGCAGCUUUCUCAGAUUGACAUUUCGGGACAUUUUGCGUAUUUUGAAAGUCAAGAUGUAAUAUUUUGAGGAAGAUUUCUUCUGAGGAUUUGUAUGGGACGUCUCCAUCUUUCAAAAGAGACAUUUUGGGACCAAAUCGGAGUUGAUUUGGUUGGUCAGAAGUCUGAUUUUCUGAGAUCUCCGAAUUCUAGUUCAAAUAGGAAACCUUUUAUUUUCUGUUUUAUUAUUUUAUUAUGUUUCAUAGUUUUAUUGUAAGACCUUUUAGGGUUUUAUUUUGUAUUAGUAUAAAUAAGAUAUUUAGCCAUUAGGGGAAAAGGGGAGGAGAGAAUAGGAGGAGAAUGCACACAAUACUUUGGAGGAUUCAAGUUUAUUUUCAAGGUGUUUUCUAUCCAUGUUCUUAAUAAUAUUUUGUUUUAUAGUUGAUAGUAACUAGUUUCGUUUGCUAGAUCGAGGCCAUGACCCUUAGCAAGAAUACGUAGUUUCUUUUCAAUCUGCUUAUGAUAUUAUGCAUGCAAGUUUUGAAUUAUUAAUCAUCGUGCUUUAAACUAUCUAAUUGUGUUGAUGAUUGGCCGCCAUUAGGAUAUUUAGAAAAGUAAUUUGAUGCAAUUUUGGCGGAGGGCUGUCCCUAGAAUUGGUGCUGGCUUCUUGUGGUUAAUAUGUGUAACUUCUUAGGAUGGAUGACAUGUCUUAAGGGUUAUAUGGUUUUUCAAAAGGAUUUCACAAAACUUUAUGAGUCUUGCAUGUUAACUUUUGAUCUGGACACCACAGACAGGUUGCAUGUUAGAUAUAGGUUCUAUGUUGGAGGUUCCAAGUAAGGCAUACAUUAGGAAAACCUAACCAUCAAAAUAUGCAUUUGUAAUUCAUAAGUAAUUGGAAGAACUACGUAGGAUUGUUAAGGUGAUGGUGAAACCCUAGUGCUUAAAUUUAUUUUCAAAACUAUUUUCUUUGGUUUUCUUUACUUUCCCAAUUUAUAGUGGAUCCAAACCAUUAUUGUAACAAUACUUAGCUACAGUAGCGUUAAGCAUAUUAUCGGUGUCAUGCCCCGAUCCCGACAUACGUCUAGGAUCGACACGUGAUGUCACCAAAUACCCACAUCUCUAACUUACCCUGCCUCUAUGGCAAAGUGAUGAGUCAAUAUUUUACCAUAUAUUUUACCCUAAUCUUAGUAUUAAUUUGUUGGUUAUUUUGGAAGAAUUUUUAUACUUUGUUAUAUAUUUCUAAUGUAGGAUAUUCUACAUCCUCGGGAGAAAAAAGUAACCAAACAGAUGAAUUUUGGAGUGAUUCCAAUUAGAGAAUGUUCGUGAGUCUUUCAAGCUGAUUGUAUCAUAAUUCCAGAUUUUACUAUCAAGCUGUUUGACCGUGGCGAUGAAAUUAAGGCCCAGCACGCAACUUUCCCAUAUUGACGUUUCUGGACGUUUUGGGUAUUUUGAAGGUCAAGAUGUUAUGUUUGGAAGAAGAUUCCUUCUGAUGAUUUGUAUGGGACGUCUCCAGCUUUCAAAAGAGACCUUUUGGGAUGAAAUUGAAGUUGAUUUGUUUGGUCAAAAGUCUGAUUGUCUGAUAACUCCGAAUUCUAGUUCAAAUAGGAAACCUUUUAUUUUCUGUUUUAUUAUUUUAUUAUGUUUCCUAGUUUUAUUCUAAGACCUUUUAGGGUUUUAUUUUGUAUUAGUAUAAAUAAGAUGUUUAGCCAUUAGGGUAAAAGAGGAGGAGAGAAUAAGAGGAGAACACACAUAGUACUUUGGAGGAUUCAAGUUUAUUUUCAAGGUGUUUUCUAUCCAUGUUCUUAAUAAUAUUUUGUAUUAUGGUUGUUAGUAACUAGUUUCGUUUGCUAGGGCGAGGCCACGAGCCUUAGUGAGAAUAUGUAGUUUCUUUUCAAUUUGCUUAUGAUAUAUAUUAUGCAUGCAAGUUUUGAAUUAUUAAUCACUGUGCUUUAAACUAUAUAAUUGUCUUGAUGAUUGGCCACCAUUAGGAUAUUUAAAAAAGUAAUUUGAUGCAAUUUUGGUGGUGGGCUGUCCCUGGAAUUGGUGCUGGCUUCUUGUGGUUAAUAUGUGUAACUUCUUAGGAUGGACGACACGUCUUAAGGGUUAUAUGGUUGUUCAAAAGGAUUUCAUAAAACUUAAUGAGUCUUGCAUGUUCACAUUCGAUCUGGACACCACAGACAGGUUGCAUGUUAGAUAUACGUUCAAUGUUGGAGGUUCCAAGUAGGGCAUACUUUAGGAAAACCAAACCUUCAAAAUAUGCAUGUGUAAUUCAUAAGUAAUUGGAAGAACUACGUAGGAUUGUUAAGGUAACGGUGAAACCCUAGUGCUUAAAUUUAUUUUCAAAAACUAUUUUCUUUGGUUUUCUUUACUCUCCCAAUUUAUUUAAUUGUUUUCAGUUAAAUUCGUUUUUAAUAUUUUAGGUUAUAAAACCAACCUCUUCUAGACUUUAUUUUCAAAUAAUUAAUUAAGAUUUGGUUUUAACAUAAAUUAUGGCUUUUUUUAUUAGCACCCCACAAAAUGUUGAAUGCACCCCACAUUAAAAUUUAAUAUUAAAUGACUUAUUUACCCCACUAUGCAAUGACAAUUUUGACCUUAUUAGGUUUUAAAAAAAUAAAAUAAAAAUAUCUAAAUACACCCCAAAUCAAUGUUUUAGAACCUUCACAUGAGGUAAGACUAUGUUUCAUCGGUGGUUUGGUUAAUUUCAUAUUGCUUUUUUUUUUUUCUUCCGUUGGUUAUUCAUUUUCUUCUUUGCAGGUUACAAAUCCAGCCAGUGGUCCUCCUAGAGAAGGUUUGGUUAUAUCCCUUGAAAUGAACAAUGGAAAGCGACAAAAUAUUUUGGAGGUUAGACCAGAAAAUGCAUCGCAGGUUUGUUGGCAUGUACCACUCUGCCUAUUGAUAUUGAGUUGUAUGGUUCUUAACAAAUAAUUGAGGUGUAUGAUUCUUAGUAAAUAAAUGAGGAUUUGAUAAUAUUUUUUGGUGUAUUUAAAUAGGAUAGCAUACAAGGCAAUACCUCUAUAGGGGACAGUGAGGUUGCAACAACGAGCGUCGUUGAUUACACAAACGCAUUUAAAACAGACGAGGUAACUAUUUUUAGUAUAUUGAAUGUGCAUCUGUGAAUUUCAUGGAAACUCUUGCAUUCUUUUAUGCAACAUAGUGCAUUAGGUUCAUAAUAGGGACUAACAUAUGGGUUGGAAUCUUAGCAUGUCUACAAACAUUUUGUUAGUGGCAAAUGUCAAUGAUCUUGUAUGUACAGGUGUUCAAAAGUAAAAAUGAUUUCCUUGAUUGGACUCGCGCACAAGGAAAAAAGAAUAAUAUGGUUAUUGUCAUUAAGAGGUCUGAUGCGGGAAGGGUUGACCGAAUGAGGAAGAGAGCUCGAAUAACAUUUGCUUGUGAGAGACAUGGCGAGUAUCGAUCCAUAUUGAGGAAGUCUGAUAUUAAUGACCAAAAUUCUGAUGCAAAUAAUAAGAAGAAGAAAGAACCCAGGAAUACUGGUAUUAAAAAAUACGGAUGUCCAUUUAUGUUGAAAGGAGUCAACGUUGGAGAAGGAGAUGAAUGGAAAUUGGAGGUUGAGUGUGGGGUGCAUAACCAUACUUAUUCACAGUAUCUUGAAGGGCAUUCUUUUGUCGGACGAUUAACUAAAGAGCAAAAUGAACUUUUAGUUGACAUGUCUACAAGUUUAGUGAGACCCAAAGUUAUUUUGAACACCAUAAAGACAAAAGAUCCACUUAAUGUAACAACGAUGAGGACAAUAUACAAUGCAAGACACUAUCAUCGGACAAAAGAAAACGCAGGGAAAUCAGAAAUGCAACAGUUGUUAUGUAAGUUGGCUGAGUACAACUAUAUUGAGCAUCAUCAAAGUAUUGGUAUUGAUAAUGUUGUUAGUGACUUGUUUUGGACUCAACCAAUUAAUGUCGAUAUCUUACAUUGUUUCGCACAUGUACUUAUCAUGGAUUGCACGUACAAGACUAAUAGGCAUCGUUUCCACUCCUGGAGAUUGUAAGGGUAACUUCAACUAAUAUUACAUUGUCGGUUGCAUUUGCUUUCAUUGACCAUGAGAAGGAAGACAAUUACACAUGCGCAUUGACAAGAUUGAAGACUCUAAUGAAUGAUGAUUGUAUUCCUGGUGUGAUUGUCACUAGGGGUGGGUUCGGUUUAAAUCGGUUCGGUUUUUUGCCAAAACCGAAACCAAACCAAAAUUUCGGUUCGGUUCAAUUUUUUUUCUGUUUUUUUCGGUUCGGUUUUUUCCGGUUCGGUUUCGGUUCGGUUUUGGUUUUUUGUUUUUAUUUUUUUUCAAAGAAUGAAAAACAUUGAAAUUUUAAAUUUUAACAUAUCCAACACAAUCAUAACAUAAACAUUCUAACUAGAAUCAAAGACAAUGAAAAUAAACAUUUAAAGUUGAACUAAAAUCAUCAAUCAAGUCUUUCAAAGUCCAAACUAACAACCUCACAACACAAAAAUCACACAAAAAUCGUACAAAUGACUUAGAAAAGUUAAAUUGUAUGAUGUUGUUCAAAGAUCAGUGUUGUUUGCUUGUAACUGCAUGUUGACAACUUGAUUAGUAAAGGUAAUACGUGGGUGGAUUUAUUUAGUGUGUGUUGGAUUCUUUUCCAUCACAAAUUACCCAAGUAAUCUACCCGAAAUAAAUGUUUAUGGAUUAUGUUACAUGUUAUAUGAGAGUAGAUUUGGAAAAGAAAGCUGGCGUAGAAGUAGACAGUGCUAUGGAGAUGGAUGUAGGUACUUCGGGAAGAGGUUUGGUUCCGGAACCUUAUAUGGGGGAGAAAUAAUAGGUUAGGGUUUAGAGUUUUUAUAGGCCUUUUUUUUAAUAUUUUGAGCUUAAAGUUUGGCAACACAUUGGGUUAGCACAUUUUAACUUACAAAUUGGGUUUAGAAAAUAAUACCCAAAACAAAUAAUUAAAUAAAAAAUUUAAUUUAAUUAAUUCGGUUCGGUUCGGUUCGGUUUGGUUCGGUUUCUAGAUCACUAAAACUGAACCGAACCAAAAGAAUUCGGUUCGGUUCGGUUUUUUCAAUUCGGUUCGGUUUUUUUGUUCGGUUCGGUUUUUUCGGUUUCGGUUCGGUUUGGUUUUCGGUUUUUUUCGGUUUUCGGUUUUUUGAACCCACCCCUAAUUGUCACUGAUCGAGACUUAGCAAACUAAACUGAAAUAUAUUGAUUGCAAGGCAAGAGUACAAUUGUAAAAACAAGGUUUACUUUUUAAUGGAGGUUGUGUAGGAAAAAUUACAUUCAAAUUCAUUGCGGACCUCUUUUUUUUCUAAGACCAAAUCAAAGAAAAAAAUAAUUGAAUCAAUGAAUUACUAUAGCAGCUCCAUUUCUGACAAUGGCAAGAGGUCUCUGUGCUAAUCAAACUACCCCGAAAUUUUAUCCUAAAACUAUACUCGAGCUCCACCUUAUCUGCAAUCUCAAAUGCCUUCUCAAUAUCAUUUCAUGAUAAACCUGCUAUCCCUAUUUAUAAGAAAUUAAGCACAAGCUAGCUCAAGUUAUGGUCUUUAAUUAAUAUUAAUUUCGACAAAUCAGCUUCCCAUCUCUUUCAUUCAUAUGAACAUGGCGCAAUAUUUGUUUAAAUUAGCUGUUCGGGUUGAUUUCUUUGUAUAACUCUUCUGCCAAUUCUGCAACUUGUAGACGUAAUUCCCAUUUCAAAAUUUUAAAAAAUAAAAUAAAAUCCAAAACUAAUGUAAGAUAAAUAAAGACUUUUUUAUAUCAUAAAAUAAGACUUUCAAACUUGUAUACAAGACUAUAGUGACAAAAUCAAACACAUUGAUGGGUGCGCAUGUUCCUUCAACAUCUGUUAUGUGCGUUUAAACUGAGCGUCGAGUCUUUUUUAAGCACCUUUAAAAGUUUAACAAACUAACUAACUCCAAUAGCUGAUAUGGCACUUAUGAUGAUGUGUCAAUCACUAUAUAUCUUCAACAUCCCCCCGCAAUCUCAACUGGGAUUUUCCAGCUUGAGAUUGUAAAAAUGUUUGACAAAUGAAAGACUGUGAAGACCUUUGGUAAGAACAUCGGGAGUUUGCUCCUCAGUUGGGAUAUACAACACCUCCAAAUCGCCUUGCUGCACUCGUUCUCAGUUUAUAUCAAGGUGUUUAAUUCUGAAAUGAAACACCAGAUUGGCACUUAAGGCAAUAGCAGACAUAUUCUUACAGUGAAUCGUUGGUGGAGCAUCCAAAAAUACACCCAAAUCCUUCAAUAUAUUUCGAAUUCAAGCUAUAUGUGCCGCAGUAUGUGCUAAGGCUUUAUAUUCAGCCUCAGUAGAACUCCUGGAUACCGAGUUUUCUUUCUUCGAUUGCCAAGAAAUUGGAUUAUUGCCUACGUACACGACAUAACUAGUGAUAGACCGACGAGUAUUCAAGUAUGCAGCCCAAUCAGAAUCAGAAAACGCAGUAAGCUUUGAAACUGUGUUUGCAGAAAAAGUAAUACCAAUGUUCAUGGUUCCUUGAAGAUAACGAAUGAUUCGUUUAACAAUGCCAAAAUGAACAUCAGUUGGUGAGGACAUAAACUGACAUACUGUGUUUACAGCAAAGGCAAUAUCAGGCCUAGUAAAGGUUAGAUAUUGUAAAGAUCCCACAAUGCUUCUGUAGGAGGUUGGAUCUGUCAAUAAUUGUCCCUUAGAGUGUAACAUUUGAUGAUGAGGUUUACAAGGAGUGGUUGCUGGUUUACAUGAUUCCAUACCUGCUUUAUGGACGAGAUCUUUGAUACACUUAGACUGAUUAACAAAAACACUGCCAUCUGCUUUAUAUUGAACUUAUAAACGCAAAAAAUAUGUAAGUUGUCCCAUAUCCUUUAACUCGAAUACCUCAGAUAAUUAUUGAAUCACUUUUUGGAUCUUCAAGGAUUAUAACCAGUUAAGAUGAUAUCAUCAACAUAAAGUAAUAAGAUGAUGAUAUCAGAGCCAUCCUUCUUGACAAACAAACUUGUAUCAGAAGCUGAUGCAUGAAACUCCAUAACUGUCAAAUGACCAUAUACAUAAUAACUGUCAAAUAACUAUAUACAUAAUAACUCCAUAGAGUGAAGAUAGGAUAUUUAAACUCUUCUGUACUUAGAGAUAUGGUUGAUGUGGGAUAUUUCAAUACCUAUAUAUAUAUAUAUAUAUAUAUAUAUAUAGUAAAAACUACAUACAUAAUAAUACUACCAUAAUAGUUGUCACAAUCAAUUCAUCUCGCACGUCAUAUCAAAGAAAGUAAGUCAUUCAUAAAAUCAAAGUAAUAGAAUAUGAUUUUAUCAAUAUCGUAGAUGAUUCUUAUAAUCAUGUAUAUGCACGUUGGUGCGACUUAGAUUCCAAUGAUCUCUCUACUAAAUAUAUUUAUUUCAUAAACGCUAUAAUUUGUAUACAUAAUAAAUGAUUUGAUCAUAUUAAUUCUGCAUAGUCCCCUCAAGUUGGAUAGUAAAUGUCAUAAUUAAGGCUUUUUAGUCAAAAUGGAGUCCUUGAGAUUUGCCUAACUCAUUACCUUGGUCCCUGAGAUUCAAAAUCAAUAGAAGUGAUCCAUGAGAUAGUCCACCAUCAAUCAUUUUGGUCCUUCAGUGAAAAAUUGUGUUAAAUAAGAAUUAAAAUGACAAAAUUACCCUCAAUGUAAUAAACAAUAGGCCAACAUGAUUUGACAAAAAUUGAGGGUAUUUUUAAUAUUUUAUCCUUAUUUUAUGGAGAUUUUUCACUGAAUGAUGAAAAUGAUUGAUUGUGAACAAACCCAAGUACCAAUUCUAUCAAUUUCAAAUCUCAAGGACCAAAGCAAGGAGUUAUGCAAAUCUCAAUAACCAUUUUAACUAAAAAAUUAUUAUUCCUAAUUUCCUAAAGCCCUUGGGAAGGUAUCUGCCAAUUGUACCCGAGAAGAAGUGCAGCAAGGAAAAUUUUAUAAAGACAAUGGAUACAUGCCACUUCGCUGCAAAAAACGAUACUUAAAGGACAAUUUUCCCGAGUUUUUCACCGCCGUUUUUACCGUUUGCUGCAAAAAACAAAUACUCUCCCCUUGCGAGCUCCGUCGUCAAUUCCCUUCACGAACUUUGAGUCCCUCUGAAAAAAUGAUUACAUGAAAUUUGAAUUUUUCAAACUUUGUGUCUGGUUAUAUCUAACGAUCCCUAAUUCUAAAUUUAUGGUUUAGAUAUAUAAAAAAGAUAUCUCGGGUACUUCAUUGCUAUCCAUUAAGCUCCCCACUUUCAAGCAAAGCAAAAAAUUCUAAUUGAGUUGAGUUUUGAACAUGCUGAUUAGUUAGACAACUGAAUUACUAAUCUUUAUUAUUAUUGCAACAAACACACGGAUUACACUAAAAGCUAGUGAAUCAUACACUUGCAGAUGACUUAUCCAAACACAAAGAUAAGACAUGAUUUUAUUAUUAUUGCUAUAAACACACGAAUUACAACGAAAUUCAAAAACUAAAAACAAGGAAAAAAGUAGUGAUGAAAACCAAUGCCACUUCCGGGAACACGAUUGCAUUCGCACAUGCAACAAGCCUUUUAAACCCAUAGGUGACCCAAAUGGGACGAGUGAAGUCUCGUGAGGGUUUCCAGAGACGUUACCCACAAACAUCAUGCAUACGGAUCAUCAACAUCUGACUUGGGAGACUGAGUAGAUAUCCACCCCUCCAGCAUCAGGUUGUUUUUGGUUAAGGCGUAAUUCGAAUCUGUUUUCAAUGAACGGCCUGGUUAUGAGAUCGCUUUGCAAGUGACGUAAUCGGCAGCGCGUGAUUAGGUUGUUGCUGUCAGGUGGUCCGACAGGCUCGACCUUGAACAAUGUGCAAGCCCAAUUGUCUUUGGUUUCAUUUCGGUCAGCAGCUGCGGCCAGGACCAAUAGCUUGUUUUGGUCCACCCUUCUCAAGUAGUUGCCAUUGUAGGAGCAUUUGAUAUGCACGUAAUUCUUGUCGGCGUAGUCCUCAUUGUUUGGCUUCUCGGUGGUGAACUUUAUGAACCUGCUGUUUUCAUUGUCCUCGGAAAACUGGACAAUCUCAUUAAGGUCGCUUUCUGCAUCAAGUUGAUAGCGCAAAUACUUGUUGUUGAUAUCUGCUUUCAGCAGAAAAGGGCUUGGUAGUACAGGUGGAGCCAUAUCGUAUAGUGUAGUUGGGAUUGGGAUGCUCUCUCUUUUUAAUUCUCUGUUGAUGAUCUAAUUUGCUUGCUGUGAAUGUGAUGCUUAGUUUAAACCUGCUAUCCUAUUUAUAAGAAAUUAAGCACAAGCUAGCUCAAGUUAUGGUCUUUAAUUAAUAUUAAUUUCGACAAAUCAGUUUCCCAUCUCUUUCAUUGAUAUGAACAUGGCUGAUCUCAUUGGUGUGGCGCAAUAUUUGUUAAAUUAGCCGUUCGGGUUGAUUUCUUUGUACAACUCAUCUGCCAAUUCUACAACUUGUAGACCUAAUUCCCAGUACAAAAUUAAAAAAAAAUUAAAAUCCAAAACUAAUAUAAGAUAAAUAAAGACUUUUUAUAUCAUAAAAUAAGACUUUCUAACUUGUAUACAAGACUAUAGUGACAAGAUCAAACACAUUGAUGGGUGCGCAUUUUCCAUCAACAUCUGUUCUGUGUGUUUAAACUGACCGUGGAGUCUUUUUAGCAAUUAAAAGUUUUGUAUCAUGUAAUUGUCUUGGUUUGAUAAGACCUACAUCUAGAUGAGUUGCUUCUGAAGACUAAUGUAAAACUUUAUGUUGAUAUUUCUUGAGGGUGAAACAUCGUUUGAGAAACGUGUAGGGCCUCAUUACAAUGUUUUCAUUUAGUUUUUAACUUUUGGUUUAAAUAUUCUACUAUGAAUAAAUUUGUGGCUUUAAUAACUAGUAAAACCACUUUCAAAUAUCUUAGUAUCGGCUUUCAGAACAAAGGGGUUUGCUAGUACAGGUGGAGCCAUGUUGUAUAGUGUAGCUGGGAUUGGGAUGAUCUCUCUCUCUUUUUUGUUUUUUGUUUUUCCUUUAAUUUGCUUGCUUUGAAUGUGAUGCUCAGUUCAAACCUACUAUCCUAUUUCUAAGAAAUUAAGCACAAGCUAUCUCAAGUUAUGGACUUUAAUUAAUAUUAAUUUCCUCAAUCAGUUUCCCAUAUCUUUCAUUGAUACGAACAUGGCUGAUCUCAUUGGUGUGACGCAAGAUUUGUUAAAAUAGCGAUCGGAUUGAUUUUUCUUUGUAUAACUCUUCUGCCAAUUCUGAACUUGUACAUAUAAUUCCCAUUAUAAAAUAAAUAAAUAAAAUUCAAAACUCAUAUAAAAUAAAUAGAGACUUUUUAUAGCAUAUAAAAUAAGACUUUGUAACUUGUACAUAGUUACUGAUAACAUUCAUCUAAGAACUAACAGAUGAAUGUAUGCAAGCAAUAUUGAAGAAAUACAGAGAGAAAGAUCGAAAGGAAUAGAGAGAGAAAUAGAGAAAGAAAUGAGUGAAAGCUUUGUUAUUUCAUAAGAACAAAAGAUCAUCACAAAAGAACCCUGAUUCCUUCUUAUAUAGUCUGCACAUGUAGCUUAUCAGCUAAGCCACCUGUGUAACUAAUUCUUAACAAACUAACUAACUCCAAUAGCUGAUAUGGCACUUAUGAUGAUGUGUCAAUCACUAUAUAUCUUCAACAUCCCCCCGCAAUCUCAACUGGGAUUUUCUAGCUUGAGAUUGUAAAAAUGUUAGACAAAUGAAGGACUGUGAAGACCUUUGGUAAGAACAUCGGCAGUUUGCUCCUCAGUUGGGAUAUACAACACCUCCAAAUCGCCUUCAUGCACUCGUUCUCGUACAAAAUGGUAGUAUGUAUUAAGGUGUUUAAUUCUUGAAUGAAACACCAGAUUAGCACUUAAGGCAAUAGCGGACAUAUUGUCACAGUGAAUCGUUGGUGGAGCAUCCAAAAAUACACUCAAAUCCUUCAAUAUAUUUCGAAUCCAAGCUAUAUCUGCGGCAGUAUGUGCUAAGGCUUUAUAUUCAGCCUCAGUAGAACUCCUGGAUACCGAGUUUUGUUUCUUCGAUUGCCAAGAAAUUGGAUUACUACCCAAGUACACGACAUAACCAGUGAUAGACUGACGAGUAUUCAAGUCUGUAGCCCAAUAAGAAUCAGAAAACGCAGUAAGCUUUGAAACUGUGUUUGCAGAAAAAGCAAUACCAAUGUUCAUGGUUUCUUGAAGAUAACGAAUGAUUCAUUUAACAACGCCAAAAUGAACAUCAGUUGGUGAGGACAUAAACUGACAUACUGUGUUUACAGCAAAGGCAAUAUCAGGCCUAGUAAAGGUCAGAUAUUGUAAAGAUCCCACAAUACUUAUGUAAAAGGUUGGAUCUGUCAAUAAUUGUCCCUCAGAGUGUAACAUUUGAUAAUGAGGUUUACAAGGUGUGGUUGCUGGUUUACAUGAUUCCAUACCUGCUUUAUGGACGAGAUCUUUGAUAUACUUAGACUGAUUAACAAAAACACUGCCAUUUGCUUUAUAUUGAACUUGUAAACCCAAAAAAUAUGUAAGUUGUCCCAUAUCCUUUAACUCGAAUACCUCAGAUAAUUAUUGAAUCACUUUUUGGAUCUUCAAAGGAUUAGAACCAGUUAAGAUGAUAUCAUGAACAUAAAGUAAUAAGAUAAUGAUAUCAGAGUCAUCCUUCUUGACAAACAAACUUGUAUCAGAAGUUGAUGCAUGAAACUCCAUAACUGUCAAAUAACUUGUAAACUUCGAAUUCCACACUCGUGGAGCCUGUUUCAAGCCAUAUAAUGACUUGACCAAUUUGCAAACAUGAGAAAGAUAUGAUGUAUCAAUAAACCCUUAUGGUUCCUGCAUAUAAACUUCUUUUUGUAAAUCCCCGUGUAGAAAAGCGUUCUUGAUAUCUAAUUGGCGAAGAGGCCAAUGAUUCAUUGCAGCUAAAGAAAGAAUAAUCCUUACAGUAGUAUGUCCGACAACAGGACUAAAUGUGUCCAAGUAGUCAAUACCAUGUUCUUGGGAGAACCCUUGAGCUACAAGCCUUGCUUUAUACCUGGAGACACUGCCAUCAGAGUUUUUCUUCACUUUUUGUUCUGUCUUCAGGUGCAGGAACCAAUAGCCAAGUUCCUUGUGCUCGAAGUGAAUCAUAUUUCUCCUGCAUUGCCUUUUGCCACUGUGAAAUAGUAGGAGCUUUCCGAAAUGUCUUAGGUUCUGAAGCAUCAGUGAUCUCAGAAAGAAAGGAAUAGCCACCCGUGAAAGGUUCUUCAUCAGUGAUUUGGAGACAACAAAGCUCAGGACAUUGUGCUACUAAAGCAGCAUAAUUUUGUCCCUCAAUUGUUCCACUCUUCAAUCUAGGGACCAUUGAGUGAGUCAAUGGUGUAGUAUGUAAAAUGAGAUCAAAUAGAGAUAAAUCAGGAAGGAUUACCUUAAGUUGUGACUUAGAGUGGACAAGCAACAAGGAUUGUGUACCAGAGUGAUGAUGUGUAGGAGAGUGAUGAUGUGAAGAGUUUGGAGAUGCAUAUAGAAGAUUGGUUUCAGUCGAAUUUGUAUCUUGAUCACUAGGUUGAAUCACUUGUGUAUUGUCCGAACUAGAAACAUUCAAUUAACCAACCACAUAUAUACUUUCACAAUUUGCAGGAAUACUGUGAUGUGAACCAGUAUCAUUUGCUGAUAUAUGUAUAGAACUAGCUGCUUGUGAAUCAUGCUGUAUUUAUGUAUGAGGCAGGACUCUUGCACUUGGAACUUGUAACUGAAUCAAAACAGGUGUCUGAGAACACCUAUAUGUAGCUGUAGAAUCCUUAGAUGGCAAAACUUGUUUAAACGGAUAUACAUCUUCAUCAUGUAGUACAUGCCUUGACAGAAUGAACUUUCUAGUCUUGAUAUCAUAACAAAUAACUCCUUUAUAUCCAUGAGCAAAACCAAGAAAUACACAUUGAGCUGACCGUAGCUCCAAUUUAUUCUUAUUGAAUGAUCUUAUCAAGAUAGAGCAGCCAUAAGAAACUCUUAACUUUGGAGGAAUAUGAAGUUUCCAAAUGAGAUUCCAUCGCCGGAAAAGCACAAGGCCUAAUGGCCCAAAAGUAAGCAGAUUUAACUGAAAAAUUACCAUCAUUUAUUCCACUUCAGAUACACUUGGCAGUCAAAGCAUCAAAACUAAUUGGAAUGCUAAGAAUUUGUUCAACCACCUCUUUAGUAAAACAAGUAAUAGUGGAUCCAAACCAUUAUUGUAACAAUAGUUAGCUACAGUAGCCUUAUAUGUAUUGUCGGCGUUACCACACAAUCCCGAUAUACGUCCAGGAUCGACAUGUGAUCUCAUCAAAUACUCAUAUCUCUAACUUACCCCACCUCCGGAAUAUGGCAAAGUGAUGAGUCAAUAUUUACCAUAUAUUUUACCCUAAUCUUAGUAUUAAUUUAUUAAUUAUUUUGGUAGAAUUUUGAUACUUUGUUAUAUAUUUCUAACAUAGGACAUUCGACUUCAUCUGGAGAAAAAAGUAACCAAACGGAUGAUUUUUGGAGUGAUUCCAAUUGGAGGAUGUUUGUGAGUCUUUCGAGAUGAUUAUAUCAAAAUUCCAAAUUUUUCUACCUAGCCGUUUGACCGUGGCAAUGAAAUUAAGGCCCUGCGCGCAGCUUUCUCAGAUUGACAUUUCAGGACAUUUCGGGACAUUUUUUCAAUUCGGUUCGGUUUUUUUGUUCGGUUCGGUUUUUUCGGUUUCGGUUCGGUUUGGUUUUCGGUUUUUUUCGGUUUUCGGUUUUUUGAACCCACCCCUAAUUGUCACUGAUCGAGACUUAGCAAACUAAACUGAAAUAUAUUGAUUGCAAGGCAAGAGUACAAUUGUAAAAACAAGGUUUACUUUUUAAUGGAGGUUGUGUAGGAAAAAUUACAUUCAAAUUCAUUGCGGACCUCUUUUUUUUCUAAGACCAAAUCAAAGAAAAAAAUAAUUGAAUCAAUGAAUUACUAUAGCAGCUCCAUUUCUGACAAUGGCAAGAGGUCUCUGUGCUAAUCAAACUACCCGAAAUUUAUCCUAAAACUAUACUCGAGCUCCACCUUAUCUGCAAUCUCAAAUGCCUUCUCAAUAUCAUUUCAUGAUAAACCUGCUAUCCUAUUUAUAAGAAAUUAAGCACAAGCUAGCUCAAGUUAUGGUCUUUAAUUAAUAUUAAUUUCGACAAAUCAGCUUCCCAUCUCUUUCAUUCAUAUGAACAUGGCGCAAUAUUUGUUAAAUUAGCUGUUCGGGUUGAUUUCUUUGUAUAACUCUUCUGCCAAUUCUGCAACUUGUAGACGUAAUUCCCAUUUCAAAAUUUUAAAAAAUAAAAUAAAAUCCAAAACUAAUGUAAGAUAAAUAAAGACUUUUUAUAUCAUAAAAUAAGACUUUCAAACUUGUAUACAAGACUAUAGUGACAAAAUCAAACACAUUGAUGGGUGCGCAUGUUCCUUCAACAUCUGUUAUGUGCGUUUAAACUGAGCGUCGAGUCUUUUUUAGCAAUUAAAAGUUUUGUAUCAUGUAAUUGUCUUGGUUUGAUAAGACCUACAUCUGGAUAAGUUGCUUCUGAAGACUAAUGUAAAACUUUAUGUUGAUAAUUCUUGAGGGUGAAACAUCGUUUGAGAAAUGUUUUGGACCUCAUUACAAUUUUUUCAUUUAUUUUUUAACUUUUGGUUUAAAUAUUCUACUACAAAUACAUUUGUGGCUUCAAUAACUACUAAAACCACUUUCAAAUAUCUUAGUAUUGGCUUUCAGAACAAAGGGGUUUGGUAGUACAGGUUGAGCCAUGUUGUAUAGUGUAGCUGGGAUUGGGACGAUCUCUCUCUUUAUUUAUUUAUUUUUUUCCUUUAAUUUGCUUGCUUUGAAUGUGAUGCUCAGUUCAAACCUACUAUCCUAUUUCUAAGAAAUUAAGCACAAGCUAUCUCAAGUUAUGGUCUUUAAUUAAUAUUAAUUUCCUCAAUCAGUUUCCCAUUUCUUUCAUUGAUACGAACAUGGCUGAUCUCAUUGGUGUGACGCAAGAUUUGUUAAAAUAGCUGAUCGGAUUGAUUUUUUCUUUGUACCCGAGAAGAAAUGCAGGAAGGAGGAAUUUAUAAAGACAACGGAUACCUGCUCUUCGCUGCAAAAAACGACACUUAAAAGGACAAUUUUCCCGAGGUUUUCACCGCUGUUUUUACCGUUUGCUGCCAAAAACAAAUACUCUCCCCUUGCGAGCUCCGUUGUCAAUUCCCCUCGCGAACUUUGAGUCCCUCUGAAAAAAUGAUUAAGUGAAAUUUGAAUUUUUCAAACUUUGUGUUUGGUUAUAUCUAACAAUCCCUAAUUCCAAAUUUAUGGUUUAGAUAUAUAAAAAAGAUAUCUCGGGUACUUCAUUGCUAUCCAUUAAGCUCCCCACUUUCAAACAAAGCAGAAAAUUCUAAUUGAGUUGGGUUUUGAACAUGCAGAUUAGUUAGACAACUGAAUUACCAAUCCUUAUUAUUAUUGCAACAAACACACGGAUUACACUAAAAGCUAGUGAAUCAUACACUUGCAGAUGACUUAUCCAAACACAAAGAUAAGACAUGAGUUUAUUGUUAAAUUGUGGCCAAGUGGCCAUCACCUUUUGUAUUAAACAAAUAAAAAGAAAAAAAAAAGGGAGACAUCAUGAUGUUGUUUCUUACUUUGUGAUAAUGACAAAUGAUGAUGUUGGAGAAUUAUUUUUUAUUUGGCCCAUGUGGGAAGUCACGGGGUGACUUGAAGGAUUUAUUUAGCAGCAAUUGCUGCUUGUGUGGUUAAGAGAAGAAAACAGAGAGCAGAAGAAAAAGGAAAGAGAGCUGCCGAGAGCAAGAGAGUUGCAGAGAGCCCAAACAGAAAAAGAAGCUGCUGCUUCAUUUGAUUAGUAAUCAUCAACCAAAGUAGUUGUUGUUGUAAUAGUUUUGAGCUAUAUGUAUAGAGAAGAAAUUAUUCAUUAUAUUUCUUUCUCUAUUUGUUUCUUUGGUGUGUGAGAGUUAUUGGGUGUAUUGGGCUUUUGGGUUGUGAGAUUGUCAACACUUUGUAAACUCCCAUUUGGUUGAUAGUGGAUUAUUGGGUGAGCUCCUACUGCUCCGAGGACGUACUCCAGUUACACUGACUGUUGAGGAACCUCGUUAAAAUCUUGGUGUUCUUUUAUAUUUUGUUCUUGCAUUUUCAUUUGAUAAAUUUCCUGUGGGUUAGCUUGAGUUGGUUCCAACGGGUUUGGUGCUAUCCUAGCACAACAAUUGGUAUCAGAGCACUGGUUGCUCUUGGGUACUGUCUAGUUGCCAAAGAUGUCAGACGGGCAAGAUGAGAAUCCUUUUGGAAGCACCUCCGGGUUUGCAAGAACUACGGUGCAAAAUGCAAAGUUCGAAGUGGAAAAGUUUGAUGGCACAAACAACUUCGGGAUGUGGCAAUGUGAGGUCAAAGAUGUGUUGGCUCAACAAGAUCUACUUGCCGCUUUGGGAGAGAAGCCGGAAGCUAUGUCGAAGCCGGAAUGGGAGAAAUUAAAUUUGUGGGCUUGCUCUUCAAUUCGGUUGUGCCUUGCAAAAACUCAGAAGUAUUUUUUGUGAUGCGGGAGACAUUGGCAAGUGUGUGUGGCAAAAAUUGGAAGACAAGUAUAUGACGAAGAGUGCAGAGAACCGGCUACACUUGAAGAAAAAACUCUACCGCUUCCAAUACAAAGAAGGUACAAAAAUGAUUAGACACCUUGAUGCUUUUAAUAAGUUGAUUGCCGACUUGUUAAAUUUAGAUGAGGAUAUUAAGGAUGAAGAUAAGGCCUUAAUAUUGUUGAAUUCCUUGCCGGACUCUUAUGAGCAUUUUGUUACCACUAUUAUGCAUGGUAAAAAAACUGUGAAAUUUGAAGAUGUGUCAAAUGCCUUGAUGAAUUAUGAAAUGAGGCAUAGAGAUAAAAAUCAUGAUAGUACCUCUGAAGCUUUAUUUGUUAGAGGUAGAUCAUCGGAGAGGAGGUCAUCUUCUAGCAGGAAAAAAUCACAAUCUCGACCUAGAGGAAACUCUAAAGGUAGAAAACCUUUGGAAAGGGAUGAAUGUGCCUUUUGUCGUAAUAAGGGCCAUUGGAAGAAAGAUUGUCCUAAAUUGAAGAACAAAGGCAAAGAAAGUUCUGAAGCUAAUGUUGCUGAGGUUGAAACAGAUUUUUCUGAUUUUGCUUUAACCACUUCCUCAUCAUUUGAUUGUGCUACUAAGUGGGUGUUGGAUACGGGUUGUACUCAUCAUAUGACUCCUCACAAGGAUUGGUUUUCAAGCUUGAAAGAGUUUGAUGGUGGCGUUGUGUUCAUGGGAGAUGACAAUCCUUGCACAACAAAAGGGAUUGGUACAGUUCGUUUGAAGUUGCAUGAUGGCAUGGUUAAAGAGUUGACAGGUGUUCGGUAUGUACCGAAUUUGAAGAAAAAUCUUAUUUCUUUGGGUACUUUGGAAUCCAAGGGUUUCAGGUUUCAUUCAGAUGGACAGACAUUGAAAGUUACUUAUGGUGCACAUGUUGUGAUGAAAGCUCCUAGAUGUGGCCAUUUGUAUUUAUUGCAGGGAAGCACUGUGACAGGUGAAGCAUCUGUAGUCUCUGAAAAUAUGGGCACAUCUGAUUCAGAUACUACUAGAUUGUGGCAUAUGAGAUUAGGCCGUACCGGUGAGAAAGCUCUACAAGGGCUUGUGAAACAAGGUCUUCUAAAAGGUGCCAUGACUUGUAAGCUUGAUUUCUGUGAGCAUUGUGUCUUGGGGAAGCAAACUAGAGUGAAGUUUGGUACUGCUGUACAUCAGACGAAGGGCAUUCUUGAUUAUGUGCAUUCGGAUGUUUGGGGUCCUACAAAGACUCCCUCUUUGAGUGGUAGACAUUGGUUCGUGACCUUUGUUGAUGAUUAUUCAAGAAGGUCUUGGGUCUACACUAUGAAGCACAAGAGUGAGCUGUUAAGCAUUUUCUUGGGUUGGAAGAAAAUGGUUGAGAACCAGACUGGGAGAAAGAUUAAGAUUUUGAGAUCGGAUAAUGGUGGUGAAUACACAUCCGAUCCUUUCUUUAAAGUUUGCAAAGAGGAAGGAAUUGUGAGACAUUUCAGUGUUCGGGGAACUCCACAACAAAAUGGAGUUGCAGAAAGAUUGAAUCGAACCUUGCUUGAGAAGGUUAGAUGUAUGUUGUCUCAGUCGGGUUUAAGCAAGUCAUUUUGGGCAGAGGCAGUUAAUUAUGCAUGUCACAUCUCAACCGGUUACCCUCAGCUGCUGUUCAGGGUAAGACACCAAUGGAGGUAUGGACUGGAAAACCUUCUUCUGAUUAUGACUAUAUCCGUAUUUUUGGUUCACCUGCUUAUUUUCAUGUAACUGAAAAUAAACUUGAUCCAAGAGCCAAAAAGGCUAUCUUUCUUGGUUUUAGUAGUGGUGUCAAAGGUUACAGGUUGUGGUGUCCAGAGAUGAAAAAACUUGUAAUCAGCAGAGAUGUGACAUUUGAUGAAGAAAGUAUGUACAAAGUCUCUGAGAAGAAUGUGAAAGAUGUCCAACAGGUGGAGCUUGAGAAAGUUGCCUCUGAUACUUCAAAUCCUAUUUCCGCUGAUGUCGAAGCCACUACAAGUGAAGAAGUUGGAGACCAUGAGAAUGUUGAAGAAGUUGAACUUGAAGAUUCUAUUCAAGUUGAAGAGCAAGUUUCACCUCAAGAGUCUAUUGCUAAGAACAGAGGAAAAAGACAAAUUACCAAGCCAGCUCGGUACAGUGACUAUGUUGCUUUUGCUCUUCCUAUUAUCACUGAUGAGAUUCCAUCCAAUUUUGAGGAAGCUAUUGAGAGUGAGGAGAAGAAAAGGUGGUGCAAUGCCAUGGGUGAUGAAAUGAAUUCUCUCUUGAAGAACAAGACUUGGGAGUUAGCUAAAUUGCCUAAGGGCAAGAAAGCUAUCGGUUGCAAAUGGGUGUAUGCCAAGAAGGAAGAUGCUGAUGAGAAAAGCAAUGUGAGAUUUAAAGCAAGAUUAGUUGCUAAAGGGUAUGCACAAAAGGAGGGCAUUGACUACAAUGAAAUAUUUUCUCCAGUUGUGAAGCGCUCCUCAAUUCGUAUUAUGUUAGCUCUUGUUGCACAAUAUGAUCUUGAGCUUGUGCAACUUGAUGUGAAGACGGCUUUCCUACAUGGUGAUUUGAAUGAAGAGAUCUAUAUGUGUCAACCGGAUGGGUAUUGUGAAAGGGAAGGAAAAUUUGUUUUGCAAAUUGAAGAAAUCGCUUUAUGGCUUGAAGCAAUCUCCAAGGCAAUGGUAUUUGAGGUUUGAUAAAUUUAUGAGAGGCCAAAAUUAUUCUAGAAGUCAAUAUGAUCAUUGUGUGUACUUCAAGAAGUUGCAAGAUGGGUCUUUCAUUUAUUUAUUGAUAUAUGUUGAUGAUAUGUUGAUUGCCUCAAAGAAUGUUGAGGAGAUUGAGAAAUUGAAGAAACAAAUGAAGAAUGAGUUUGAGAUGAAGGAUCUUGGUGAAGCAAAUCCUUGGCAUGGAGAUCACUAGAGAUAGAGAGAAGGGUUUGGUCAGUUUGAAUCAAAGACAAUACCUUGAGAAGUUGAUUCGGAAGUUUGGAGUUCAUGAUUCAACCAAACCGGUUAGUACCCCUUUGGCUCCUCAUUUUAAAUUGAGUUCUCUACAGUGUCCUAAAACUGAUAAAGAGAAGCUGCAAAUGAAAAAUAUACCAUAUGCAAAUUUGGUUGGUAGUUUGAUGUAUGCAAUGGUAUGCUCUAGACCGGAUAUUGCUCAUGCAGUUGGCAUGGUGAGUCGAUAUAUGCAUAAUCCAGGUAAAGAGCACUGGCAAGCAGCUAAGUGGAUAUUGAGAUAUCUCCAUGGUACUCGAGAUGUUGGUUUAUGCUUUGAGAGAGAUGACUCUGGUAUUGGUCAUUUUGCAGUUGGUUAUGUUGAUUCAGAUUAUGCAGGUGAUCUGGAUGGAAGGAAGUCUACUACAGGCUAUGUGUUUACUAUGGCUAAAGGACCAGUUUGUUGGAGGUCCAUUUUGCAGUCGUCUGUUGCCUUGUCUACUACAGAGGCUGAAUAUAUGGCAGUUGCUGAAGCUAUAAAGGAGGCCAUUUGGAUACAUGGGCUGAUUAGAGAUUUGGGGGUUGAUCAGAAGCAGGUGGAGGUACAUUGUGAUAGUCAGAGUGCCAUUUAUUUGGCUAAGUAUCAGGUUCAUCAUGCGAGGACCAAGCACAUAGAUGUGCGUUAUCACUUUGUUCGUGAAAUUGUUGGUGAAGGGGAAAUCAUUCUCCAGAAGAUUCCAACUAAAGACAACCCCGCUGAUAUGUUGACUAAGGUUGUUGGUGUAGCCAAGUUUGUUCACUGUUUGAACUUGGCUCACAUUAUGCCUAUAUAAAGAAGGCGUUGAGCAGUAGGAGUUUUGGAGCAUUUGGCUCGGCAUGAGUUGUUCUCUUGCUAGUGUUCGGGAGUGAUGUUGUGUGCUAAUUGUGUUGGUUGGCUUAUCAUGGCGUUUUCGGAACUUGGCCAAGGUGGAGAUUGUUAAAUUGUGGCCAAGUGGCCAUCACCUUUUGUAUUAAACAAAUAAAAAGAAAAAAAAAAGGGGAGACAUCAUGAUGUUGUUUCUUACUUUGUGAUGAUGACAAAUGAUGAUGUUGGAGAAUUAUUUUUUCUUUGGCCCAUGUGGGAAGUCACGGGGUGACUUGAAGGAUUUAUUUAGCAGCAAUUGCUGCUUGUGUGGUUAAGAGAAGAAAACAGAGAGCAGAAGAAAAAGGAAAGAGAGCUGCCGAGAGCAAGAGAGUUGCAGAGAGCCCAAACAGAAAAAGAAGCUGCUGCUUCAUUUGAUUAGUAAUCAUCAACCAAAGUAGUUGUUGUUGUAAUAGCUUUGAGCUAUAUGUAUAGAGAAUAAAUUAUUCAUUAUAUUUCUUUCUCUAUUUGUUUCUUUGGUGUGUGAGAGUUAUUGGGUGUAUUGGGCUUUUGGGUUGUGAGAUUGUCAACACUUUGUAAACUCCCAUUUGGUUGAUAGUGGAUUAUUGGGUGAGCUCCUACUGCUCCGAGGACGUACUCCAGUUACACUGACUGUUGAGGAACCUCGUUAAAAUCUUGGUGUUCUUUUAUAUUUUGUUCUUGCAUUUUCAUUUGAUAAAAUUUCCUGUGGGUUAGCUUGAGUUGGUUCCAACGGGUUUGGUGCUAUCCUAGCACAACAUUUAUUAUUAUUGCUAUAAACACACGGAUUACAGCGAAAUUCAAAAACUAAAAAUAAGGAAAAAAGUAGUGAUGAAAACCAAUGCCACUUUCGCGGGAACACGAUUGAAUUCGCACAUGCAACAAGCCUUUUAAACCCAUAGGUGACCCAAAUGGGACGAGUGAAGUCUCGUGAGGGUUUCCAGAGACGUUACCCACAAACAUCAUGCAUACUGAUCAUCAACAUCUGCCUUGGGAGACUGAGUAGAUAUCCACCCCUCCAGCAUCAGGUUGUUUUUGGUUGAGGCGUAAUUCGAAUCUGUUUUCAAUGAACGGCCUGGUUAUGAGAUCACUUUGCAAGUGACGUAAUCGGCAGCGCGUGAUUAGGUUGUUGCUGUCAGGUGGUCCGACAGGCUCGACCUUGAACAAUGUGCAAGCCCAAUUGUCUUUGGUUUCAUUUCGGUCAGCAGCUGCGGCCAGGACCAACAGCCUGUUUUGGUCCACCCUUCUCAAGUAGUUACCAUUGUAGGAGCAUUUGAUAUGCACGUAAUUCUUGUCAGCGUAGUCCUCAUUGUUUGGCUUCUCGGUGGUGAACUUUAUGAACCUGCUGUUUUCAUUGUCCUCGGAAAACUGGACAAUCUCAUUAAGGUCGCUUUCUGCAUCAAGUUGAUAGCGCAAAUACUUGUUGUUGAUAUCUGCUUUCAGCAAAAAAGGGCUUGGUAGUACAGGUGGAGCCAUAUCGUAUAGUGUAGUUGGGAUUGGGAUGCUCUCUCUUUUUUAUUCUCUGUUGAUGAUCUAAUUUGCUUGCUGUGAAUGUGAUGCUUAGUUCAAACCUGCUAUCCUAUUUAUAAGAAAUUAAGCACAAGCUAACUCAAGUUAUGGUCUUUAAUUAAUAUUAAUUUCGACAAAUCAGUUUCCCAUCUCUUUCAUUGAUAUGAACAUGGCUGAUCUCAUUGGUGUGGCGCAAUAUUUGUUAAAUUAGCCGUUCGGGUUGAUUUCUUUGUAUAACUCAUCUGCCAAUUCUACAACUUGUAGACUUACUUCCCAUUACAAAAUAAAAAAUAAAAUAAAAUCCGAAACUAAUGUAAGAUAAAUAAAGACUUUUUAUGUCAUAAAAUAAGACUUUCUAACUUGUAUACACGACUAUAGUGACAAGAUCAAACACAUUGAUGGGUGCGCAUUUUCCAUCAACAUCUGUUCUGUGCGUUUAAACUGAGCGUGAAGUCUUUUUUAGCAAUUAAAAGUUUUGUAUGAUGUAAUUGUCUUGGUUUGAUAAGACCUACAUCUAGAUGAGUUGCUUCUGAAGACUAAUGUAAAACUUUAUGUUGAUAUUUCUUGAGGGUGAAACAUCGUUUGAGAAACGUUUUGGGCCUCAUUACAAUUUUUUCAUUUAUUUUUUAACUUUUGGUUUAAAUAUUCUACAAUAAAUACAUUUGUGGCUUUAAUAACUAGUAAAACCACUUUCAAAUAUCUUAGUAUCGGCUUCAGAACAAAGGGGUUUGGUAGUACAGGUGGAGCCAUGUUGUAUAGUGUAGCUGGGAUUGGGAUGAUCUCUCUCUUUAUUUAUUUAUUUAUUUUCUUUAAUUUGCUCGCUUUCAAUGUGAUGCUCAGUUCAAACCUACCAUCCUAUUUCUAAGAAAUUAAGCACAAGCUAUCUCAAGUUAUGGUCUUUAAUUAAUAUUAAUUUCCUCAAUCUGUUUCCCAUAUCUUUCAUUGAUACGAACAUGGCUGAUCUCAUUGGUGUGACGCAAGAUUUGUUAAAAUAGCUGAUCGGAUUGAUUUUUUCUUUGUAUAACUCUUCUGCCAAUUCUGAAAUUGUACAUAUAAUUCCCAUUAUAAAAUAAAUAAAUAAAAUCCAAAACUCAUAUAAAAUAAAUAGAGACUUUUGAUAGCAUAUAAAAUAAGACUUUGAAACUUGUACAUAGUUACGGAUAACAUUCAUCUAAGAAUUAACAGAUGAAUGUAUGCAAGCAAUAUCGAAGAAAUACAGAGAGAAAGAUCGAAAGGAAUAGAGAGAGAAAUAGAGAAAGAAAUGAGUGAAAGCUUUGUUAUUUCAUAAGAACAAAAGAUCAUCACAAAAGAACCCUGAUUCCUUCUUAUAUAGUCUGCACAUGUAGCUUAUCAGCUAAGCGUGUAACUAAUUCUUAACAAACUAACUAACUCCAAUAUCUGAUAUUUCACUUAUGAUGAUGUGUCAAUCACUAUAUAUCUUCAACAUCCCCCACAAUCUCAACUGGGAUUUUCCAGCUUGAGAUUGUAAAAAUGUUUGACAAAUGAAGGACUGUGAAGACCUUUGGUAAGAACAUCGGCAGUUUGCUCCUCAGUUGGGAUAUACAACACCUCCAAAUCGCCUUGCUGCACUCGUUCUCAGUUUAUAUCAAGGUGUUUAAUUCUGAAAUGAAACACCAGAUUGGCACUUAAGGCAAUAGCGGACAUAUUCUUACAGUGAAUCGUUGGUGGAGCAUCCAAAAAUACACCCAAAUCCUUCAAUAUAUUUCGAAUUCAAGCUAUAUGUGCCGCAGUAUGUGCUAAGGCUUUAUAUUCAGCCUCAGUAGAACUCCUGGAUACCGAGUUUUCUUUCUUCGAUUGCCAAGAAAUUGGAUUAUUGCCUAAGUACACGACAUAACUAGUGAUAGACCGACGAGUAUUCAAGUAUGCAGCCCAAUCAGAAUCAGAAAACGCAGUAAGCUUUGAAACUGUGUUUACAGAAAAAGUAAUACCAAUGUUCAUGGUUCCUUGAAGAUAACGAAUGAUUCGUUUAACAACGCCAAAAUGAACAUCAGUUGGUGAGGACAUAAACUGACAUACUGUGUUUACAGCAAAGGCAAUAUCAGGCCUAGUAAAGGUUAGAUAUUGUAAAGAUCCCACAAUGCUUCUGUAGGAGGUUGGAUCUGUCAAUAAUUGUCCCUUAGAGUGUAACAUUUGAUGAUGAGGUUUACAAGGAGUGGUUGCUGGUUUACAUGAUUCCAUACCUGCUUUAUGGACGAGAUCUUUGAUAUACUUAGACUGAUUAACAAAAACACUGCCAUCUGCUUUAUAUUGAACUUGUAAACCCAAAAAAUAUGUAAGUUGUCCCAUAUCCUUUAACUCGAAUACCUCAGAUAAUUAUUGAAUCACUUUUUGGAUCUUCAAAGGAUUAUAACCAAUUAAGAUGAUAUCAUCAACAUAAAGUAAUAAGAUGAUGAUAUCAGAGUCAUCCUUCUUGACAAACAAACUUGUAUCAGAAGUUGAUGCAUGAAACUCCAUAACUGUCAAAUAACUUGUAAACUUCGAAUUCCACGCUCGUGGAGCUUGUUUCAAGCCAUAUAAUGACUUGACCAAUUUGCAAACAUGAGAAGGAUAUGAUAGAUCAAUAAACCCUUGUGGUUGCUGCAUAUAAACUUCUUCUUGUAAAUCUCCAUGUAGAAAAGCGUUAUUGAUAUCUAAUUGGUGAAGAGUCCAAUUAUUCAUUGCAGCUAAAGAAAGAAUAAUCCUUACAGUAGUAUGUCGGACAACAGGACUAAAUGUGUCCAAGUAGUUAAUACCAUGUUCUUGGGAGAACCCCUGAGCUACAAGCCUUGCUUUAUACCUGGAGACACUGCCAUCGGGGUUUUUCUUCACUUUGUAUACCCAUUUGCUUCCUACAAUUGUUCUAUCUUCAGGUGCAGGAACCAAUAGCCAAGUUCCUUGUGCUCGAAGUGAAUCAUAUUUCUCCUGCAUUGCCUUUUGCCACUGUGAAAUUGUAGGAGCUUUCCGAAAUGUCUUAGGUUCUGAAGCAUCAGUGAUCUCAGAAAGAAAGGAAUAGCCACUUGUGAAAGGUUCUUCAUCAAUGAUUUGGAGUGAACAAAGCUCAGGACAUUGUGUUACUAAAGCAGCAUAAUUUUGUCUCUCAAUUGUUCCACUCUUCAAUCUAGUGACCAUUGAGUGAGUCGAUGGUGCAGUAUGUAAAAUGAGAUCAGAUAGAGAUAAAUCAGCAAGGAUUACCUCAAGUUGUGACUCGGAGUGGACAGGCAACAAGGAUUGUGUACCAGAGUGAUGAUGUGUAGGAGAGUGAUGAUGUGAAGAGCUUGGAGAUGCAUAUAAAUGAGUGGUAUCAGUCGAAUUUGUAUCUUGAUCACUAGGUUGAAUCACCUGUGUAUUGUUCGAACUAGAAACAUUCAAUUAACCAACCACAUUUAUACUUUCACCAUUUGCAGGAAUACUGUGAUGCGAACCAGUAUCAUUUGCUAAUAUAUGUAUAGAACUAGCUGCUUGUGAAUCAUGCUGUAUUUAUGUAUGAGGCAGGACUCUUGCACUUGGAACUUGUAAUUGAAUCAAAACAUGUGUCUGAGAACACCUAUAUGUAACUGUAGAAUCCUUAGAUGGCAGAACUUGUUUAAACGGAUAAACAUCUUCAUCAUGUAGUACAUGCCUUGACAUAAUGAACUUUCUAGUCUUGAUAUCAUAGCUAAUAACUCCUUUAUAUCCAUGAGCAAAACGAAGAAAUACACAUUGAGCUGACCGUGGCUCCAAUUUGUUCUUAUUGAAUGGUCUCAAUAGAGGAUAUAUUGCAGUACCAAAGACUUUAAGAUGUUGUACUUCAGGAACACAACCAAACACAACUUGAUAGGGAGAUUUCAUCUUCAAAUUUCUAGAUGGCAUCGUAUUGAUUAAGAAUGCAACAUGAGAACAAGCAUGAUACCAGAAAGCUGAAGGUAAUUGAGCAUCUAAUAGCAAACUAAUAGCAGUCUCAACUAAAUGUCUAUGUUUUCGUGUAGCAAGACCAUUUUGCUGUGGUGUAUGAGAGCAUGAAACUGGUGUAUAAUUCCUUUUAUCUCUAACAACUGUCUAAACACAUUACUCAUAUAUUCACCUCCACCAUUUGAUUGAAGAACUUUAACGGAAGCAUUAAACUGAUUCUCAAUAAAUGUCAGAGACUUGGUAAAGAUUGGAAAAGCAUCGGAUUUAUUAACCAUCGGAAAAAUCCAUACAAAUCAAGAGCAGUCAUCUACAAAGCUUAUGUAAUACCUAUAACCCUCUAUUAACCUCUGCAGUGAAGGACCCCAUAUAUCUGAAUGUAUCCUUUCAAAUACAACUUUUGACCUAUCGGGACUUACAGAGAAAGGCAACUUAGUCAUUUUUCCUUGAAUACAAGCAGUACAUAUAGAUGGAGACAAAUCUAUACUGGCUAAUACUUCAGACUUAUUCAACAUUGUAGUAAGCACUUCUUCAGAUGGAUGACCCAACCUUUUAUGCCAAACUGUAGUCUUUAGCUUCUUUCCAACAAAAGUUGCACAUCUUUCAAUACUUGGUACUCUGGAUCUUGACAACACUGUUAUUGGUAUCUUGAAGAGCUCCCCAUCAUCACUCUGGCCUUGGUACACAAUCCUUCGAGUUGCUUUGUCCUGUAUCAAGAAGAUCAGAUCAUCACAUACAAACCAGCAAUUAUUAUCUCUGCAUAAGUUCUUAACAGACAACAAAUUCAUUGUAAUGUGUAGAACAUGUAGCACAUUUUGCAGAAUUAAUGACUUUUGUUGAGUGUUAAGGACAGAGGAACCAAUAUUUUUAACCACCAAACCUUCUUCAUUACCAACAGUGAUCAUGGCAUCACCAUUAUAAGGAGUGAUAUAAUUUAAAACUUCGACAUUUGAUGUCAUGUGGUGAGUUGCACCUAUGUCAACUACCUAUGUAUCAGCAGCUAAAAAACCAUGGACAUUUGAGUCUUCAGUUGCAACAUUUGAGCCUUGAGCAGCCAUCCCAACAAGAGAUGUAGGUGGUGCACUGCCUUGAUAUGAGAAGUUAUUCCUAUGAAAGCAUUCCAAAGCCCGAUGACCUAUUUUCCCACAUAUCUGACAUACCAAGAUCCCUCCAGAUGAUUGAUUGUUAUCAGCUCUAAGGUAACAAUUUGGUGUUGUAUGGUCUCUUCUAGAACAAAUUUGACAUUCAGGAGAUAUAACAUUGCUGUAAUUUGUAUCACCAUUCCAAGUGUUUCCUUGUUUGCUUCCAUUACCAGAGAAAGAACUUUGAGAACCUCCAUUUGAACAUCUUUCCCAUUAUUCCCAAAAGUAGAAUAUGGCCUGUAAUUAUUAUUCCCACCAUUAUAACCACCAGAGAAUUUUCGAUUGUUCAAAUUAUUCCCAUUAUACCUCCUAUUAUUGUUACCACCAUUGUAAUUAUUCCUCCCUUGAGACCUCUAUGCAUUUGAACUCUCCCCUUGUUCAUAACUUUGAGUAUUGCCCUGAGAUUCCUGUGUAUUCGAGCCAUUGCCCUGAACAUACAUGGCAGCCAUAGAACUUGAUAAAGUUGUCAGUCUAGACUCAAUACUGCUUUCAGCCCUAAUUAGUUGAGCUCGAAAAUCUUUCAUUGAAAUCGGAGUGUCUCUUGCUAAGAUUACUGUCUUGAUCAUUUCAAAUUAUGGAGGUAAACUAGUUAAAGCAAUGACCAAAUCAUUCUCAGUGAUUUUCUCCCCUGCAGCAACCAGUUGAUCCUUGAUAAUCUUCAAUCGAAGCAAAUACUUGUCAACAUAAUCCGCACCUUUCUGUGUAGUAUGAAACUCAGUCUUGAGUUGAUUAACCCUGACAACAGAUACAGACGCAUAUCAUUCCUGUAAAGAUUUCCAAGCUUCUUGAGAAGUUUUACACCCAAUGACAUAGCCCAUAGCUUCAUCUGAAAGUGUAGCAAUCAGCAAACUCAAUAGAGAGACAUCUGUUUUAACCCAAUCUUUAUAUGCAGUAGUAAUUUCUUUAGUGACCCCAGUCUCAGUAUUGAUGACAAACUUUGGAGGACAUUGAGACUCCCCACUAAAGAAAUCAAAGAAAUCGUACCCCUUAAGCACCGACUGAAACUGAUAAUCCCAUUUGACAAAAUUAUCUUCUUUCAACUUAGCAGUGAUCAUGCCCAAAAGACUUUCAAUUUUCACAGAACUAAACACCAUAUUGUUGAUAGAAACUGAAUCAAGAAAUCAAGUACUCAAACAAUCUUCAAGAAUUAUAACAACUCCAAGAACACACACUACUGAUUAUCGGCCUUGUUCGUGUGAAAAACCCAACAAACACUCAAACAACAGCAAUGGCUAUCGGCCUUUAUGCUUUGACAGAAAACGUUUCAACAAUCAUUCAAUUAGAAAAAUGGCUAUCGGCCUUCAAUAUCAUACUCCAAACAUCAAGAAAUGGCUAUCGGCCUUCAAUAUCAUACUCCAAACAUCAAGAACUUGCUAUCGCCCUUCAACUUUCAGUCUUUCACAAAAGAUUCAUCAUUGCGACAAUUACACAAACACUUAGAGUGCAAAAAGAAAAAUAACACCUAAAAAACUCAAAGUCUAACUUCCCAAACGCCAAAAGCUCAUUAACCCACUAUACCACUUCACAGCAAUCAAGAUAAUCUUUUGGCACAGCACAGCGGAAAUACACACCACGAGAUCGAACACUUGGCGAAGAUACCAUGAUAACAUUCAUCUAAGAACUAACAGAUGAAUGUAUGCAAGCAAUAUCGAAGAAAUGCAGAGAGAAAGAUCGAAAGGAAUAGAGAGAGAAAUAGAGAAAGAAAUGAGUGAAAGUUUUGUUAUUUCAUAAGAACAAAAGAUCAUUACAAAAGAACCCUAAUUCCUUCUUAUAUAGUCUGCACAUUUAGCUUAUCAGCUAAGCCACCUGUGUAACUAAUUCUUAACAAACUAACUAACUUCAAUAGCUGAUAUGGCACUUAUGAUGAUGUGUCAAUCACUAUAUAUCUUCAACAGUUACAAGAUCGAACACAUUGAUGGGUUAUAUAUUUGGGGCUCACUACAAUUUUUUUCACUUAAUUUAGGUUUUGGCUUAAAUAUACCAUUCAAACUAAAUGUGUGGCUCAAUAAUUGGUAGAAACCUUUCCAAAUGCUUUAUAAAUGUUCUCUUAAUGAUAACGGAGAAUAUUUUGGGAAGACAACUUAUUUGAAUUUCUCACGAAAAUGUGGGUGCUCAUUAAUUUUAGUCGGCUUGGCAAUUUUGUAUAAAAAUCAUCAUUAAAUAUAGUAGUUUUCACCUUUGCCUCACCGCUAUAUUUCUAAAAGUAAUGUAAGACUUUCAGCCUUUGUUCAUUAGUGAGGAUCUUAUCAAGAUAGAGCAGCCAUAAGAAACUCUUAACUUUGGAGGAAUAUGAAGUUUCCAAAUGAGAUUCCAUCGCCAAUUAGGUAAAGCACUAGGCCUAAUGGCCCAAAAAUAUGCAGAUUUAACUGAAAAAUUACCAUCAUUUAUUCCACUUCAGAUACACUUGGCAGUCAAAGCAUCAAAACUAAUUUGAAUGCUAAGAAUUUGUUCAACCACCUCUUUAGUAAAACAAGUAAUAGUGGAUCAUGUAUUUGUCUUGGUUUGAUAAGACCUACAUCUAGAUGAGUUGCUUCUUAAGACUAAUGUAAAACUUUAUGUUGAUAUUUCUUGAGGGUGAAACAUCGUUUGAGAAACGAUUUGGGCCUCAUUACAAUUUUUUCAUUUAGUUUUUAACUUUUGGUUUAAAUAUUCUACUAUAAAUACAUUUGUGGCUUUAAUAACUAGUAAAACCACUUUCAAAUAUCUUAGUAUCGGCUUUCAGAACAAAGGGGUUUGGUAGUACAGGAGCCAUGUUGUAUAGUGUAGCUGGGAUUGGGAUGAUCUCUCUCUCUUUUUUGUUUUUUUGUUUUCCUUUAGUUUGCUUGCUUUGAAUGUGAUGCUCAGUUCAAACCUACCAUCCUAUUUCUAAGAAAUUAAGCACAAGCUAUCUCAAGUUAUGGUCUUUAAUUAAUAUUAAUUUCCUCAAUCAGUUUCCCAUAUCUUUCAUUGAUACGAACAUGGCUGAUCUCAUUGGUGUGACGCAAGAUUUGUUAAAAUAGCUGAUCGGAUUGAUUUUUUCUUUGUAUAACUCUUCUGCCAAUUCUGAACUUGUACAUAUAAUUCCCAUUAUAAGAUAAAUAAAUAAAAUCCAAAACUCAUAUAAAAAAAAUAGAGACUUUUUAUAGCAUAUAAAAUAAGACUUUGUAACUUGUACAUAGUUACAAGAUCGAACAAAUUGAUGGAUUAUAUAUUUGGGGCUCACUACAACUUUUUUUCACUUAAUUUUAGGUUGUGGCUUAAAUAUACCAUUCAAACUAAAUGUGUGGCUCAUUAAUUGGUAGAAACCUUUCCAAAUGCUUUAUAAAUGUUCUCUUAAUGCUAACGGAGAAUAUUUUGGGAAGACAAAAUAUUUGCAUUUCUUACGAAAAUGUGGGUGCUCAUUAAUUUUAAUUGGUUUUGCAAUUUUGUAUAAAAUCAUCAUUAAAUAUAGUAGUUUUCAUCUUUGCCUCACCGCUAUAUUUCUAAAAGUAGUGUAAGAUUUUCAGCCUUUGUUCAUUAGUGAGGAUCUUAUCAAGAUAGAGCAGCCAUAAGAAACUCUUAACUUUGGAGGAAUAUGAAGUUUCCAAAUGAGAUUCCAUCGCCAAUUAGGAAAAGCACAAGGCCUAAUGGCCCAAAAAUAAGCAGAUUUAACUGAAAAAUUACCUUAAUUUAUUCCACUUCAGAUACACUUGGCAGUCAAAGCAUCAAAACUAACUAAUUGGAAUGCUAAGAAUUUGUUCAACCACCUCUUUAGUAAAACAAGUAAUAGUGGAUCCAAACCAUUAUUGUAACAAUAAUUAGCUACAGUAGCCUUAUACGUAUUGUCCGUGUCACCACCCGAUCCCGAUACACGUCCAGGAUCGACAUGUGAUGUCAUCAAAUACCCAUAUCUCUAACUUACCCCGCCUCCGGGAUAUGGCAAAGUGAUGAGUCAAUAUUUUACCAUAUAUUUUACCCUAAUCUUAGUAUUAAUUUAUUGGUUAUUUUGGUAGAAUUUUGAUACUUUGUUAUAUAUUUCUAAUAUAGGACAUUCGACUUCAUCUGGACAAAAAAGUAACCAAACGGAUGAAUUUUGGAGUGAUUCCAAUUGGAGGAUGUUCGUGAGUCUUUUGAAAUGAUUAUAUCAAAAUUCCAGAUUUUUCUACCAAGCCGUUUGACCAUGGCGAUUAAGUUAAGGCCCAGCGCGCAGUUUUCUCAUAUUGACAUUUCUGGACGUUUUUUGUAUUUUGAAGAUCAAUAUGUCAUAUUUUGAGGAAGCUUUCUUCUGAGGAUUUGUAUGGGACAUCUCCAGCUUUCAAAAGAGACCUUUUGGGACCAAAUCGGAGUUGAUUUGGGUGGUCAGAAGUCUGAUUUUCUGAGAACUCCAAAUUCUUGUUCAAAUAGGAAACCUUUUAUUUUCUGUUUUAUUAUUUUAGUAUGUUUCAUAGUUUUAUUCUAAGACCUUUUAGGGUUUUAUUUUGUAUUAGUAUAAAUAAGAUAUUUAGCCAUUAGGGGAAAAGAGGAGAGAAUAGGAGGAGAACGCACACAGUACUUGGAGGAUUCAAGUUUAUUUUCAAGGUGUUUUAUAUCCAUGUUCUUAAUAAUAUUUUGUUUUAUGGUUGUUAGUAACUAGUUUCGUUUGCUAGGGCGAGGCCACGAUCCUUAGCAAGAAUAUGUAGUUUCUUUUCAAUCUGCUUAUGAUAUUAUGCAUGCAAGUUUUGAAUUAUUAAUCAUUGUGCUUUAAACUAUCUAAUUGUGUUGAUGAUUGGCCGCCAUUAGGAUAUUUAGAAAAGUAAUUUGAUGCAAUUUUGGCGGAGGGCUGUCCCUGGAAUUGGCGCUGGCUUCUUGUGGUUAAUAUGUGUAACUUCUUAGGAUGGACGACAUGUCUUAAGGGUUAUAUGGUUUUUCAAAAGGAUUUCACAAAACUUUAUGAGUUUUACAUGUUCACGUUUGAUCUGGACACCACAGAUGGGUUGCACGUUAAAUAUAGAUUCUAUGUUGGAGGUUCCAAGUAGGGCAUACUUUAGGAAAACCUAAUUAACCAUCAAAAUAUGCAUGUGUAUUUCAUAAGUAAUUGGAAGAACUAUAUAGGAUUGUUAAGGUGAUGGUGAAACCCUAGUGCUUAACUUUUUUCUUUGGUUUUCUUUACUUUCCCAAUUUAUAGUGGAUCCAAACCAUUAUUGUAACAAUACUUAGCUACAGUAGCCUUAAGUGUAUUAUCGGUGUCACGCACCGAUCCCGACAUACGUCUAGGAUCGACACGUGAUGUCACCAAAUACCCAUAUCUCCAACUUACUCUGCCUCUGGGAUAUGGCAAAGUGAUGAGUCAAUAUUUUACCAUAUAUUUUACCCUAAUCUCAGUUUGUUGGUUAUUUUGGAAGAAUUUUGAUGCUUUGUUAUAUAUUUCUAAUGUAGGAUAUUCGACAUCCUCGGGGGAAAAAAAGUAACCAAACAGAUGAAUUCUGGAGUGAUUCCAAUUGGAGAAUGUUCGUGAGUCUUUCAAGAUGAUUGUAUCAAAAUUCCAGAUUUUACUAUCAAGCUGUUUGAUCGUGGCGAUGAAAUUAAGGCCCACCGCGUAGCUUUCCCAGAUUGACGUUUCUGGACGUUUUUGGUAUUUUGAAGGUCAAGAUGUUAUAUUUAGAGGAAGAUUCCUUCUGAGGAUUUGUAUGGGACGUCUCCAGCUUUCAAAAGAGACCUUUUGGGACAAAAUCGGAGUUGAUUUGGUUGGUCAAAAGUCUGAUUGUCUGAUAACUCCGAAUUCUAGUUCAAAUAGGAAACCUUUUAUUUUCUGUUUUAUUAUUUUAUUAUGUUUCCUAGUUUUAUUCUAAGACCUUUUAGGGUUUUAUUUUGUAUUAGUAUAAAUAAGAUGUUUAGCCAUCAGGGUAAAAGAGGAGGAGAGAAAAAGAGGAGAACGCACAUAGUACUUUGGAGGAUUCAAGUUUAUUUUCAAGGUGUUUUCUUUCCAUGUUCUUAAUAAUAUUUUGUUUUAUGGUUGUUAGUAACUAGUUUCGUUUGCUAGGGCGAGGCCACGAGCCUUAGUGAGAAUAUGUAGUUUCUUUUCAAUUUGCUUAUGAUAUAUAUUAUGCAUGCAAGUUUUGAAUUAUUAAUCACUAUGCUUUAAACUAUCUAAUUGUCUUGAUGAUUGGCCACCAUUAGGAUAUUUAAAAAGGUAAUUUGAUGCAAUUUUGGUGGCGGGAUGUCCCUGGAAUUGGUGCUGGCUUCUUGUGGUUAAUAUGUGUAACUUCUUAGGAUGGACAACACGUCUUAAGGGUUAUAUGGUUUUUCAGAAGGAUUUCACAAAACUUAAUGAGUCUUGCAUGUUCACAUUCGAUCUGGACACCACAGACGGGCUGCAUGUUAGAUAUACGUUUUAUGUUGGAGGUUCCAAGUAAGGCAUACUUUAGGAAAACCAAACCUUCAAAAUAUGCAUGUGUAAUUCAUAAGUAAUUGGAAGAACUACGUAGGAUUGUUAAGGUGACGGCGAAACCCUAGUGCUUAAAUUUAUUUUCAAAAACUAUUUUCUUUGCUUUUCUUUACUUUCCCAAUUUAUUUAAUUGUUUUUAGUUCAAUUGGUUUUUAAUAUUUUAGGCCAUAAAACCAACCUCUUCUAGACUUUAUUUUCAAAUAAUUAAUUAAGAUUUGGUUUUAACAUAAAUUAUGGCUUUUUUUAUUAGCACCUCCUAAAAUGUUGAAUGCACCCCACAUUAAAAUUUAAUAUUAAAUGACUUAUUUACCCCACUAUGCAAUGACAAUUUUGACCUUAUUAGGUUUUAAAAAAAUAAAAUAAAAAUCUCUAAAUACACCCCAAAUCACUAAACCCUAUUAUUUAUCUUCUCAACUAUCAAAACCCUCUUACCCUCCAUUGUUGAACAAAACCCUAACCAAUGAAACUACAAACAUCUUGAUUGAGAAAAAUUGCUUUUGACGAAUGGAACACAAAAUCAAUGUUUCGGAGCCUUCACAUGAGGUAAGACUAUGUUUCAUCGGUGGUUUGGUUAAUUUCAUAUUCCUUUUUUUUUUCUUCCAUUGGUUAUUCAUUUUCUUCUUUGCAGGUUACAAAUCCAGCCAGUGAUCCUCUUAGAGUAGAUUUGGUUAUAUCCCUUGAAAUGAACAUUGGAGAGCGACAAAAUAUUUUGGAGGUUGGACCAGAAAAUGCAUCGCAGGUUUGUUGGCAUGUACCACUCUGCCUAUUGAUAUUGAGUUGUAUGGUUCUUAAAAUAAUUGAGGUGUAUGAUUCUUAGUAAAUAAAUGAGGAUUUGAUAAUAAUUUUUGGUGUAUUUAAAUACGAUAGCAUACAAGGCAAUACCUCUAUAGGGGACAAUGAGGUUGCAGCAACGAGCGUCGUUGAUCACACAAACGCAUUUAAAACAAACGAGGUAACUAUUUUUAGUAUAUUGAAUGUGCAUCUGUGAAUUUCAUGGAAAUUCUUGCAUUCUUUUAUUCAGCAUAGUGCAUUAGGUUCAUAAUAGGGAAUAACAUAUGGGUUGGAAUCUUAGCAUGUCUACAAACAUUUUGUUAGUGGCAAAUGGCAAUGAUCUUGUAUGUACAGGUGUUCAAAAGUAAAAAUGAUUUCCUUGAUUGGACUCGCGCACAAGGAAAAAAGAAUAAUAUGGUUAUUAUCAUUAAGAGGUAUGAUGCGGGAAAGGUUGACCGAAGGAGGAAGAGAGCUCGAAUAACAUUUGCUUGUGAGAGACAUGGCGAGUAUCGAUCCAUAUUGAGGAAGUCGGAUAUUAAUGACCAAAUUUCUGAUGCAAAUAAUAAGAAGAAUAAAGAACCCAGGAAUACUGGUACUAAAAAAUGCGGAUGUCCAUUUAUGUUGAAAAGAGUCAACGUUGGAGAAGGAGAUGAAUUGAAAUUGGAGGUUGAGUGUGGGGUGCAUAACCAUACUUAUUCACAGUAUCUUGAAGGGCAUUCUUUUGUCGGACGAUUAACUAAAGAGCAAAAUGAACUUUUAGUUGACAUGUCUACAAGUUUAGUGAGACCCAAAGUUAUUUUGAACACCAUAAAGAAAAAAGAUCCACUUAAUGUAACAACGAUGAGGACAAUAUACAAUGCAAGACACUAUCAUCGGACAAAAGAAAAAGCAGGGAGAUCAGAAAUGCAACAGUUGUUAUGUAAGUUGGUUGAGUACAACUAUAUUGAGCAUCAUCGAAGUAUUGGUGUUGAUAAUGCUGUUAGUGACUUGUUUUGGACUCACCCAAUUAAUGUCGAUACCUUACAUUGUUUCCCACAUGCACUUAUCAUGGAUUGCACGUACAAGACUAAUAGGCAUCGUUUUCCACUCCUGGAGAUUGUAGGGGUAACUUCAACUAGUAUUACAUUUUCGGUUACAUUUGCUUUCAUUGACCAUGAGAAGGAAGACAAUUACACAUGGGCAUUGACAAGAUUGAAGACUCUAAUGAAUGAUGAUUGUAUUUCUGGUGUGAUUGUCACUAAUCGAGAUCUUACAUUGUUUCCCACAUGUACUUAUCAUGGAUUGCAUGUACAAGACUAAUAGGCAUCGUAUUCCACUCCUGGAGAUUGUAGGGGUAACUUCAACUAAUAUUACAUUUUUGGUUGCAUUUGCUUUCAUUGACCAUGAGAAGGAAGACAAUUACACAUUGGCAUUGACAAGAUUGAAGACUCUAAUGAAAGAUGAUUGUAUUCCUAGUGUGAUUGUCACUGAUCGAGACUUUAGCAAACUGAACUCAAAUAUAUUGAUUGCAAGGCGAGAGUACAUUUGUAAAAACAAGGUUUACUUUUUAAUGGAGGUUGUGUAAGAAAAAUUACAUUCAAAUUCAUUGCGGAUCUCUUCUUUUUCUAAGACCAAAUCAAAGAAACAAAUAAUUGAAUCAAUGAAUUACUAUAGCAGCUCCAUUUCUGACAAUGGCAAGAGGUCUCUGUGCUAAUCAAACUACCCGAAAUUUAUCCUAAAACUAUACUCGAGCUCCACCUUAUCUUCAAUCUCAAAUGCCUUCUCAAUAUGAUUUCAUCAUAAACCUGCUAUCCUAUUUAUAAGAAAUUAAGCACAAGCUAGCUCAAGUUAUGGUCUUCAAUUAAUAUUAAUUUCGACAAAUCAGUUUCCCAUCUCUUUCAUUGAUAUGAACAUGGCUGAUCUCAUUGGUGUGGCGCAAUAUUUGUUAAAUUAGCCGUUCGGGUUGAUUUCUUUGUAUAACUCAUCUGCCAAUUCUACAACUUGUAGACUUAAUUCCCAUUACAAAAUUAAAAAUAAAAUAAAAUCCAAAACCAAUGUAAGAUAAAUAAAGACUUUUUAUAUCAUAAAAUAAGACUUUCUAACUUGUAUACAAGACUAUAGUGACAAGAUCAAACACAUUGAUGGGUGCGCAAUUUCCAUCAACAUAUGUUCUGUGCGUUUAAACUGAGCGUGGAGUCUUUUUUUAGCAAUUAAAAGUUUUGUAUCAUGUAAUUGUCUUGGUUUGACAAGACCUACAUCUAGAUGAGUUGCUUCUGAAGACUAAUGUAAAACUUUAUGUUGAUAUUUCUUGAGGGUGAAACAUCGUUUGAGAAACGUUUGGGGUCUCAUUACAAUUUUUUCAUUUAUUUUUUAACUUUUGGUUUAAAUAUUCUACUACAAAUACAUUUGUGGCUUCAAUAACUAGUAAAACCACUUUCAAAUAUCUUAGUAUUGGCUUUCAGAACAAAGGGUUUUGGUAGUACAGGUGGAGCCAUGUUGUAUAGUGUAGCUGGAAUUGGGAUGAUCUCUCUCUUUAUUUAUUUAUUUUUUUCCUUUAAUUUGCUUGCUUUGAAUGUGAUGCUCAGUUCCAACCUACUAUCCUAUUUCUAAGAAAUUAAGCACAAGCUAUCUCAAGUUAUGGUCUUUAAUUAAUAUUAAUUUCCUCAAUCUGUUUCCCAUAUCUUUCAUUGAUACUAACAUGGCUGAUCUCAUUGGUGUGACGCAAGAUUUGUUAAAAUAGCUGAUCGGAUUGAUUUUUUCUUUGUACCCGAGAAGAAAUGCAGGAAGGAGGAAUUUAUAAAGACAAUGGAUACCUGCUCUUCGCUGCAAAAAACGACACUUAAAGGACAAUUUUCCCGAGGUUUUCACCGCCGUUUUUACCGUUUGCUGCAAAAAACAAAUACUCUCCCCUUGCGAGCUCCGUCAUCAAUUCCCCUCGCGAACUUUGAGUCCCUCUGAAAAAAUGAUUAAGUGAAAUUUGAAUUUUUCAAACUUUGUGUUUGGUUAUAUCUAACGAUCCCUAAUUCCAAAUUUAUGGUUUAGAUAUAUAAAAAAGAUAUCUCGGGUACUUCAUUGCUAUCCUUUAAGCUCCCCACUUUCAAACAAAGCAAAAAAUUCUAAUUGAGUUGGGUUUUGAACAUGCAGAUUAGUUAGACAACUUAAUUACCAAUCCUUAUUAUUAUUGCAACAAACACACGGAUUACACUAAAAGCUAGUGAAUCAUACACUUGCAGAUGACUUAUCCAAACACAAAGAUAAGACAUGAGUUUAUUAUUAUUGCUAUAAACACACGGAUUACAGCGAAAUUCAAAAACUAAAAACACGGAAAAAAGUAGUGAUGAAAACCAAUGCCACUUUCGCGGGGAACACGAUUGCAUUCGCACAUGCAACAAGCCUUUUAAACCCAUAGGUGACCCAAAUGGGACGAGUGAAGUCUCGUGAGGGUUUCCAGAGACGUUACCCACAAACAUCAUGCAUACUGAUCAUCAACAUCUGACUUGGGAGACUGAGUAGAUAUCCACCCCUCCAGCAUCAGGUUGUUUUUGGUUGAGGCGUAAUUCGAAUCUGUUUUCAAUGAACGGCCUGGUUAUGAGAUCGCUUUGCAAGUGACGUAAUCGGCAGCGCGUGAUUAGGUUGUUGCUGUCAGGUGGUCCGACAGGCUCGACCUUGAACAAUGUGCAAGCCCAAUUGUCUUUGGUUUCAUUUCGGUCAGCAGCUGCGGCCAGGACCAAUAGCCUGUUUUGGUCCACCCUUCUCAAGUAGUUGCCAUUGUAGGAGCAUUUGAUAUGCACGUAAUUCUUGUCGGCGUAGUCCUCAUUGUUUGGCUUCUCUGUGGUGAACUUUAUGAACCUGCUGUUUUCAUUGUCCUCAGAAAACUGGACAAUCUCAUUAAGGUCGCUUUCUGCAUCAAGUUGAUAGCGCAAAUACUUGUUGUUGAUAUCUGCUUUCAGCAGAAAAGGGCUUGGUAGUACAGGUGGAGCCAUGUCGUAUAGUGUAGUUGGGAUUGGGAUGCUCUCUCUUUUUUAUUCUCUAUUGAUGAUCUAAUUUGCUUGCUG